UGAGAGGAUCCAUAGGAGGAGGGACUUAAUUUCUUCUCUGAUGAGACUGGAGCACCAGCAGGAAUUUGACUCUGUAGUCUGAGAGAUUAUUUUCAUCAUGAUGUUCUGAGUUCCCUGAAUCCACAGCUGGAACACUGAGCCACCACCAGGAACACUGCACCUGGACCAGUUGUCUAAGGGAAUUAAAUACGAAUUUCACUUCUUUGGCUAUUAAAAUCCCACCAUGCUCUAGCUUCCUUCCAACAUCCACCCUUCAUUCCCCACCAUCUCAGCUUCUCAAUAAAUCCUUCCUCUCCUUGAUUUUCCAAACCACCUAUGUCUUAUAAUCACCUACACACACACACACACACACACACACACACACACACACACACAGACACAUACACCUGGCUUUGAAGGGAUCAGAUUAUGUUUUUUAAGGCUGAACUGUUUCUAUGGCUUUCUCUGUAAACUCUGCUUCCCAGCUACUUUCCAUGGUACCUUCCUGACCAAAGGUUAAAGAGUCCAGAGUGUAAAGCUUGCACCCCUGGUAGUCCUCAGGUCUGGUGCUGAUGGGCUCAGAGCCAUGGGGUGUGUGAUUAGCCGGCCAGGCCUUGCUGAGGCUGACUUGUCUUGUCUCUGCAGUAUGUGCCCACAAAACCGGAAGAGGGUAAGAUAUUCUAGAUGUUGAGUUGCAGAUGACUGUGAGCUGACUUAGAGUUGUUGGAAAACAAGUGAAAGUCCUCUGCAAAGGCAACCAGUGCUCUCAAACCCUGAGCGAUUUCUCUAGUUCUUGCUCUGAAGGUUUUCUGAUGUCCUGUUGAUUACUGUCUGCUCCACCAGCCUGUUCCACAGGAACCAGUCUUAUGAUUGUGUAGCAUCACAACACCAAAAAUAGUUUAAUCUCUUACUGGAUGCCCUUAAUGAUUUUUACAAAUGGUAAAAAUUGACUAUAUUUGUUUUUGAAUAUUGACAGUGCCUCUGGAACUAAACUCAAUCAGCUAGUUCCUUUCACUUCUAUCCAUCUCACAAACUCACACAGUAUAUUCUUUUCUGUCCUCAGUGUACCAUGUAUUGCUGUAAGCACCAGCAUUGUUAAGGCAAGCAAAAAGAGAUUUAUAAAACCUUCAGAAUUUGAAAUUUACAUUCACUCAUAGCUUGUGCUACACAUCAUUAAUCCCACCUUUCAGGAGAGAGAAGGUCUCUAUACUGUCCAAACUUCCCUUGUCUACAGGGUGAGUUUUAGGACAGCUUCAGUUUGUGGUGACACUCUGUCUCAAAUUAACCAAACAACAACAACCCAACCACACUCACACACAAACACAUGCAUGGAACACACACACACACACACACACACACACACACACACACACACACACACACACACACACACAGAGAGAGAGAGAGAGAGAGAGAGAGAGAGAGAGAGAGAGACAGAGAGAGCACUGUCCAGUUGCUACCCUUCUCAUUCCUAAAGUGACCUUUCAGUGUAAUUGUAUUUUAACCUCAACUUCCUCAGUCCUUCCAGUGUGGAGGCUUCUGUUAAACCUGCACCAAUUGGCAACUGACAGCAGACCAGUUUCUGCUUCCUGGUGGGGAAAUUGGGUGGUGUUGUUUUGUUAUUCUGUACUCCCUUAGCCGACCUCCCUAGGCCCUGAGAAGAUUCCAUUCGCUUCCUUCAGACGACUUUAGUGUUUUUAAGUCAUACUCAACAAAGUAAGAAACCAUUUGUUCUGACUGCAGUAUUUAGGAUCAUGUUGAAUAGGUACCAGCAGAAUGUACGCUGUUUAAGAAGUAGGUCUGUGGGUUAGGAUUAGCUGUAAUUUUAUCUGCUGAGUGAGUGAGUGUUUGCUUCAUGUCCUUGCCCCUUUUGCCUUCUGUGGUAUUUUUAUUCCUAUAGACUAAAGGGUUUUAGUUUGUGUUGGCUCCUUCUGCGAUUUCAGUGUCCAAUACCUCUAGACCUAUACUGUAAGUGUGACCAGAUUAACAGGGCUGUUGAUUUUCCAUGGAGAUGCUUGUUUACAUUUUUACUUAAUCCACAUCUUAUGUGCAAGAGGAGGGAGAGCAGCUUGCUGGCUCUGCAUCAGCACACAGUGACCCAGAGUGAAGGUUCUCUCUGUUACUGAUUCGAAUUCCUGAAUCACCAUAACAUUUUGCAUGAGCUAUCCUCCACUGUCUCGGGCAUUUGAGUACUCCUUUCCCACUUGGUGACUCUGUUUGGGAAGAUCCAGGAGGUGUGCCCUUGCUGGAGAAAGAAUGUCAGCGGGGCUGGGCUUCGAGGUUUCAGUGCUGUGCACCACUCCCUGUGCACUCUCUGCUUUGUACUUGUGAUUCUAGAUGUCAUACCUCAGCCUCCUCCUCCUUCCGCCAUGCCCUGUAGUCAUGGAACUUAACCUCUGCUAACACAUGUUCUCUGAAAUAGAAUCACUAAUGUCCUACUUGUUUUAUAGUUUGCUGUGCUCAUGGCAUUUCUGUCACAGAAAUACAAAGGUAACAAAUGCAGAAGGUGACAUAAUGGAGUGGACUCUUGCUGUGUGACACCUCACGAUGCCAGGUUGUUUCUUGUUUUGGGAAAUAUGUAAGAAUUCCAGUGCUCUAAGAAGAGUUUAAUGGGCUAUACUGGCAGGCACUUGGGAGUCAGGAGUGCCAAGAGGUAUUCAGACUGUGGAAGCCCAGGAGAAGGGGAUUCAGGAGGAAAAAAUGUUUGUAACUGGUCUAGGAUAAUUCCUACAAAGCUUUUACAAAAAUGUGGCUUCCUUUCUGCCCACAUCCUAAAAACUUAUCUGAGGCUAAAUUUAAAAGUAAUAAACAAAUUUCUUUGAUGAAAAUUUGAAGAGGGCCCAGUAUGGCCUCGGUCUUACUGUGGUUAUAAGUCUUCAAUGAAAAAGAACAAAUGGGGCAAAAAGAAAUACAAAAUGUAGAGUUUGGAAAGAAAAAGACACUGGGAAGAUUAAUAUUAUAGCCAAUGCCUAUACCAGAAGAGAGCCUGAAAUUGCUUGGAGAUUAGCACCUUAAUAAGAGGCCAUGUCUCCUCAGGUGAAGACAUCACUCAACUAACUUAGUAAUCUGUGGUAGAAAAUGACUUACUUAGAGUUUUCCUGCUAUUAACAGACACCAUGACCAAAGCAACUCUUAUAAGAAGAACAUUUAUUUGGGUUUGCCUUCAAGUUCAGCAGUUUGGUUCAUUAUCAUCAAGGUAGGGGCAUGGUAGCAUCUAGGCAGACAUGUUGCAGGAGGAUCUGGGAGUUCUACAUCAUCAUCUGAAGGUUGCUACUAGAAAACUGAUUUUCAUGCAGCUAGGACAAGAAACAUAAGGGUCACAUCUACAGUGACACACUUCUUCCAUCAAGGCUACACCUAUCCAAUGAGGGCACAUCUUUAAAUAGCCCCACUCCCUGGGCUGAGCAUAUUUAAAUCACCGCAUGAACAUUAGGUAUUUUCAGUUCCUGGUAUAACUUUUGAUCAGAAGCUGCUGCUACUGUGGUUCAUGGGGCCCAGGUCUUUGUAGAAAUCAAGCAUCUUCUCAUGUACUCUCAUCAGUCACUGGAAGUAAGGAAGCUCAAGAAAGGACUGCUGUGUGGACUGAGACAGCUGAGCAAGUCUGCUUUGGGAAGGACCUCCUCUGUCACAGGACAUCCACUGUUUAAGCACCACCACUACCUCAGGAAGUCCACUGUCUGUGUGUCAACUCCACUGUUACAGGACUUCAAGUUUCUCAGCAUCUCAACUAUCACAGGAUUUCUACUGUGCAGGAGCUCAAGUGUCUUACAACGUCCAAUGUCAUAGGACCAUCAAUGUCACAAGAACUCCUCUGUCCAAGGAACUGCACAGUCCACACAACACUAUGAUUGCAGGACAUUCACUGUGGAAACACCUCCACUAUUGCAGGGCCUCCACUGUCCAUACAUCAACUCCACUGUCGCAGAUCCCCCAUUACUGCAGACCUCCACUGUCACAGGACCUCCACUGUAGGAGCACUACAACUGUCGCAGGAUCUCCAGUGUCUUAUAACCUGCUCUAUCCCAGGACUUCCACUGUUGUAGCAUUACCAUGGUCACAGCAACUACACUGUUUCAGGACAUCAAGUGAAGCUGGACCUCCAAUGAUGCUCCAACUUCUCUGUCACAGGAUCUCUACAGUUACAGGAAUACUCCUGUAUCAGCAAUUCCAAUUGCUGGACCUCAGUUGUCACAUGACCUCCACUGUAGCCGAACCUUCAAUUUUGCAGCACCUCCACUAGAGGUAGAAUGACCUCCCCUAUCACAGUGCCUCCACUUUCAAAGGACCUUCACUGUCACAGAACCUGCACAAUUUCAGUGCCUCCGCUGUUGCAGGACCUACGUUUUCACAGGAUCUGCACUGUUGCAACAACUCUAAUUGCACUUUUACAAAGGCAUUACUGGUUAUUAGAUUUGAGGCUGAAUGGAAUGUGAUGUUACUUUCGUAAACAUAAGAAUUUGUUCUGUGCGUCUUGUGAUUAAUGGCCACUUGUGCUAGGACCAGUAACUUAUGGAAAGAUUCCAUGUGGUCAUAGCACUCUCCACCUCACCUUGUGGAAACUGGUGUUUUUAGAGUGUGAUAAACUUCAGGUGAAGGGAUGCAGUCAGCAAGACCACGCUCUAGAGUGGGAUACACAGCAGUCAUAUUGAGUCCUUGCUGGGAAGAAAAGAAAUCCAGAAGAGGGAGGAGGCUUAGGUUAGAGGAAGAAUCAUAAAAUAUUUAGAGAAUAUAAAAAGGUAAGAAUUAUGGGGAACUGGAAAACAGAGCCAGAGGAAGAAUGAGCACAGAGCAAACUGGGAUGGACAAAGCACAAAUGUACCUGGGUUGUGCCUUCUGCAUGUUCUCUGGACGAUCGCCUUGUGCCUCAUUUCUGGGAGAACACUCUCUUCUCCCCAUAUAAAGUUUCUUUCUUGAAAGAAAGCAGCAACACAACUUCAUCAGUGAAUUUCCCCAUUGAAAUUUGUUCAUUCUUUCAAAGCCUCUGGGAAGGCCCUAGCUGGGGAAAGUCCUCUCUGCUGAGAAACAGCAGGAAAGUAGGUUGUCCUCUGUGUUCUCAUUGCGACUGCUCUUCUAAGUGUGGUUGAUUGUUGAUUGAAGACACAGGGCACUUCUAGCAUGUAUGUAUGCUUUAUUCAGUGUGGGUGGCAUUGGGAGUAUCCUGAAAAGAAGGGUAGGCGCCUCUGCCUCUUUGACUAGGAGUAUGAUCAAAGUCAGACACUCGACCAUUGGAAGAUGAGACCAAUGUGUCUACGGUGUACUCACUUCUAUUCCUCUUUAGUCCUAGAGGGAAAUAAGUGCCGUCAGUGAGGGUAGGGAAUGGGGCCCUAACUGGACAAACUUACUGAGCCUGGGUUAUGCAGCCAUGCCGGUGAAUAGCUUCCCCUUACAUUAAGUAAUAAGAUGCCAUGCUCUGGUUGUACCUUCCCUGAUACAGUGAAUCUAUAAUCUCUUGGCCUCAAAACCCAAUAUAUUACAUUGCUUUCACAAGUGGAGUAUCUGGCAUGAGAGGGAUCAUUUCCUCAUAGGGAUUUGGGAACCACUUACAGUCUUCAUUGAGCAUGGAUGUGUCAUCACCUAUGUGACUGUUAGCCCAUAUCUGUGAUUCACUGUCAUUAGGAGGCUAAGCUGCCUCUUCUGAUACCCCACAGUGGGCCGGAUAAAUACCACUCACAACCUGUCUCCUCAGCUCUUGUAUGACAAAAUGUAACCCUACUCCUAAGUCCAUAUGUUGGGGGGGUUGUUUUUUUUGUUUUGUUUUGUUUUGUUUUGUUUUUGGAACAUCCUAACGUUUUCCUAGGAAGAGAUCAGGUGCACCAUUAGGAUAAGCACCAUGCUGCCAGUUCAGCAUUUGCCCAAGUUUGACUUGCCUUGAAGGCCAAAGUUGAUGAUUUUGACUUUUCCAUUCUUCUCUAACAGAAUAUAAUCUGGUUUCAGGUCACUGUGUACUUUUACAGUGCCCAUAGCCGUAGAUCAAGCCUGCUAAUAUUUACCCAAAUAUUUCCUUGACCCUGUACUCCUCUAAGGGGAAAGACCUUCAAAUGUAUUUGUAAAGCUGUAAAAUUUCAACCAGUUUCAUGAUAAGUUAUUAGACUUGUCUCAGACUCAAUUGGAGAAGCAAGAUGAUGUUGGGGUUGAUGAAAAUCUUCAUUAUAUUUGCCAUGGUCAUGUUUGGCUGGCACCAUUGCUUCUUCUUUGCAUGCACUUUGAUAACCCCCGUAGCAGAACUUCCACUGUCCCAGUACCUGCACUAUCCCAAGACCUCCACUCUCACCGGACCAAUAUUGCAGUAGGACGUCUGCGGUCAGGCAACUCCACUGUCUCAGACCCUCCAAAUUGCAAGACCUUUACGGACACUGGAAGUUACUGUCCCUAAACUUCCACUGUUGGAAUACCUCAGCUAUAACAAGGACCCCUACCAUUGCAGAACCCCCUUGUCAUAGCACCUCUACAAUUACAAAGAAGUCCACUGUCAAAGGACAUCCGGUGUCUCAGCCCCUCCACUGUUGCAGGAUCUCUACUGUCUCAGGAUCACUACUGUUGCAGGACCUCCCCUCUCUCAGCAACUCCAAUUUGCAGGAGCUCUCCUAUCAGAGGAUAUCUACAUUUGCUGUACUUCUAGAGUCACAGCACCUCAACUGUUAAAAGAAUUUCCAUACUCACAGGACCGCCAAUGUCUCAGUAACUCCACUGUCCUAGGACCUUUAUGUUAUAGGACCUCUGCUGACACAAGAUGUCCACUGUUGCUAGACUUCCACUGUCAUAACCACUCAACCAUUACAAGGACCGCAAUUUUGGCAUGACCUCCACUGUCCUAUCCCCUCCAGUGUCAUAGGACCUCCACUCUCACAGGAUAAUCCACUGUCUCAGCAAGGCCAAUUUGCAGGACCUCUACUAGGACAGGAUAUCCACUGUAGCUGGACAUACACUGUUGCAGUACCUCAACUGUUGGAGGACCUCCAAUGUUGCAGGACAUGGACCCUCUCAGCUUCUAGAAUUUGCAGGACCUCUACUGGCACAGAAAUUCCACUGUUGCUGGAGCUCCACUGUCAUUGAAAAUGCGUUGUCUCAUGAUAUUCACUGUUGCUGGACCAAUAGUGUAGCAGCACCUCCAUUUUUUCAAAACCCCUCCACUGAUACAGGAUCUCCACUUUUGUAGCAGCUUCACUGUCCAAGCAAACCAACUGUUUCAGGAUCUCCAGUGUCUCAGGGCAUUCACUAAUGCCCGUCCUCCAACGUUGUAGGAUAUUAUCCACUUUCUCAACAGCUACACUUUGGCAGGACCUCUAUUGGCAGAGAAAGUCCACUGUUGCUGGACCUCCACUGUCAGUGCAAAUGCACUGAUUCAGGACCUCUACUUUUCUAAGGACCUCCAAUAUUGCAGGACCUCAAAUGUCCCAGGACCUCAAGUGAUGCAGCACCUCCUUUUUCCCAUCACCUUUACUGUCCCAGAACCUCCACUUUCCCAGGAACUGUUCUGUUGCAGGGCCUCCAAAGUUGGAAGAACUGCACUGUAUCAAGACCUCAACUGUUGCAGGACCUCCAUCAUUAUAGGAACACAAUAGUUACACUGUCCAUCACCUUCACUCUCUUAGCACCUCCACUCUCACAGGACCUACACUGUUGCAGGAACUCCAAUGUCUAUGCAACUGCACUGUCUCAGGACCUCAAUGAUCCAGAACCUCCAAUGAUGCAGGACCUCCACUGUUUCAGGAUAUCCACUCUAUCACCACCUAGACUUUUGCAGGACCUCUACUGGCCCAGGAUCUCCAUUGUUGCUGGUCUUACAUUGUCUAAAGACCUCUACUAUCACAGAAAUGCCACUGUUGUAGAACCUUCACUGUCGCAGGGCCUCCACUGUCCAAGAACUCCACUGUUGCAGGGCAUCCACUCUUGCAGCAUGUGCCUUGUCUCAGGACCUCCACUAUAUCAGUCAAAUCUCCACUGUAUCAUGACUUCCACUUGUGCAGGUCUUUCAAUGUUGCAUGACCUCCAAUGUGAAAGUAACUCCACUAUCUCAGUGCCUCCACUGUUACAGGACCUACACUGUCAGAGGAUCUGCACUACGGCACCAGCUCCACUGUCACAUUUUUGAAAGCAUUGCUUGUUGUUAGUGUUGAGGCUUCAUGGAGUGUGAUGCUACGUCUAAAAAGUUAAGAAUUUCUUCUUCAGCUCCUAUGAUUAAUGUCCAGAUGUGCUAGAUCAGUAGCGCCUGGAAGACUCAAUGAGCCGAUAGCCUUCGAAGCCUCACUUUGUGGUGUUCUGUUGUCUUUUGGGAAUGCUAAAGUCCAGGUGAAGGCAUGCGGUCAGAAGGAUAACUCUAGUGUGGGGUACACAUCAGUUGUGUUGAGUUCCUGCUAGGAAGGGUAGAAAUCCAGAACUGAAAGAAGGCUUAUGGUGGAGCAAGAAUCAUACAAUGCUUAGAAUAGGUAAAACAGAAACAAUUUUGCAGAAAUGGAAACCAGAGACACAGGAGGAACCAGCACAGAUCAAACUGCGUAGGACAAAGCACAAAGGUACCUGCGCUGAGCCUGCCUGCUGCUUGUUCUUUGGAUGUACUCUAGCCUUUAUUUCUCAGGAGAGACACUGUGCUGUCCAAGGAGAGUUUUCUUGCUUGAUUGAGCACAGGAAUACUGCUUGAUUUGGAUAUUCCUAAUUUCUUGGUCCACCCUGUAAAGCAUCUGAGCAUGCUCCUGCUUGGGACAGUCUUGCCCUCUCCUGAAGCCCAGAGGGAUAAUAGGUUGUCUUCUGUGGUUUCAUUGCUGCUUUCGUUCUCCCUGAGGCUGCUUGUUGACUGAAGGCAGAAGACACCCUGGCAUGUAUGUUUUGUCCAGUGUGGUGUCACCUGGAAUGGCCUGAAGAAAAGGCCAGUCCCAGUGGUUCUUCUGAAUCUUCUAUGACUAGAGUUAUGGACAUAGGCAUAAACGAGGCCAUGGGGAAUGACAAGUUCAAUGUUCCAAUGGUGGGUUGGUUUCCACUCCUCUGAAGUCCUAGAUGGAAAGCAGCAUAAUCUUUAAGGGUAGGGAAUGGAGCCCUAACUGGACUCAGUGAGGGAGCCUGGUUGUGAAGCCAGGCACCUGGAUAGCCUGCCCUUUCAGUAAUCCAUUGAACACCAUUGUCCGUUAAUUUUUUUAUUUAAAGAAUCUUUAUUUCUUGGGCUUAGAACUGAAUAUAUUGCAUUACUUCCACAGUUGUAGGGUGUGGCCUGAGGUACCAUUUCCUCAUAGGGAUUUGGGAAACCCUCCCAUUCUUUGAAGCAAGGUUGCAUUAUGAGGUUUGUGACUGUCAGCCUAUAUCUGGGGUUUACUGUGAUUAAGAGAUAAUGAUGAUGGUUGACCAUCAUAAACGUUGACAAAGAGGAGUUCAGGGGCAACAGAAGUGUAAGCACCACAGUGGUGCUUCAGCAUUUGCCCUAGUUCAACUCGGGUACUAAGGCGAAAUUUGAUGAUUUUGUUUUUUUCCAUUAAUAACCAAGAUAAAUGCUAUUUGGUUUCAGGUCCCUGUGAAAUAUUGUGUGCCCAGGGCAGUAGUUCAUCACUGCUAAUAUUUGCAAUAUAUUUUACUGACUUGUCCUGCUUUAGGUAGCCAUACUUUUGGAUGUAUUUGUAAAACUGUUGAGCUUCAACAAGCUCCAAGACAAGAUAUAAUAUUGUUUUGGUCUCAAUUAUUUGAAGAAACCACGUGAUGUUGGGGUUGUCACCCAUCAUCAUCACUGCCAUGGUCAUUACUGGCUGGCAUUAUUAUUUCUCCAUUACAAGGACUUUGACAGCCACUGUCACAGGACCUAAUCUGUGGUAGAACCUCCACUCUCAGGGCAACUCCACUUUCUCAGGACCUCUAAAUUGCAGGACCUCCCCUGGCAUAGAAUGUACAUUUUUGCAGGACUUUCACUCUUGUAGCAACUCAACUCUUAAAAGACAUCCACUUUAGCAAGAUUUCCAGUGUCUCAGCACUGCCCUUCUUGAAGGACCUCCACUAUUGUAGGACCUCCACUGUUGCAGCACAUCCAUUCUCUCAGCAUCUAGAAUUUUGCAGAAUGUCAACUGGCAUAGAAAGUCCACAGUUGCUGGUUCUUCAAUUUCAUGAUAAAUCCACCGUAUCAGGACCUUCACUGUUGCAGGACCUCCAGUGUUGAAUCACAUAAACUGUUUCAGGGCCACCACUGUCACAGGACCUUCUCUGUCACAGGAUCGCCACUCUCUCAGCACUUAUGCAAUCACAGGACCUCCAUUGCUUUGGACCUCCACUCUCGGAGAACCUCCACUGGUCAAGCACAUCCACUGUCUCAGAAACUCCAGUGUCUCGGGACAUUCACUGUUGCAGGAUCUCCCAUGUCUUAGCACACUUAUUUUUGCAGGACCUCCACUCUCCCAGACUCAUCUCUACUGUCUCAGGACCUACACUAUAACUGUUGGACCUCUAAUGUCACAGGACCUCAAAUGACACUGGAUCUCCACUGUCCAAUCACCUUAACUGUCCCAACUCCUUCACUGUCGCAGGACCUACACUGUUGCAGGACCUCCAAUAUCGGACCAAUUUCCUGUCUCAGGGACCUCCAAUGUUGCAUGACCUCCACUGUUAAAAGAUAUCCACAGUUGCAGGAUAGCCAGUAGAGUUUUGCAGGACCUGUAUUGGCCCAGGACCUCCAUUGCUGAUGAUCCUCCACUGUCUCAGUACCUUAACUAACACAGAACCUCCACUGUUGAAGCACCUCCACUGUCCUAGGAUGUCCACUAUUGCAGACAACGUCAGUCUUAAGUACCUCCAUUUUUGAAGGACCUCCAUGGGUGCAGGACCUCCACUCUUAGAGUGCCUCCAUUGUUGUAGCACCUCCACUGUUCCAACCUCAUCUCCACUGUCUCAGGACCUACAUUAUUGCAGGAUCUCCAAUGUUGCUGGACUUCUACUGUUGCAGUACCUCCAGUGUUGCAGGACCUACACCGUAGCAGGAUCUGCACUGUUGCACCAAUUCUACUUUCACAUUUUGUUGACAUUGCUGGUUAUUAGAUUUGAGUCUUAAUGGAAUGGGAUAUUACUUUUGAAAACACAGGAAUGUUUUCUGCAUCACAUGUGAUUGAUGACCACAUAUUCUAGGACUGAUAUCCCCUGGAAGAUUCCAUGAGCCCUUAGUCCACCAGUCUUCACCUGGUCGGAGGUGUUGUGUUUUGGGAGAAGUUGAAUCCAGGUUAAGGGAUGGGAUCAGCAGGACACAGUUCUGUAGAGUGGGCUACAUAUCAGUCAUAGUGAGUCCCCUCUGGGAUGAGUAGAAAUCCAGAACUGAGAAAAUGCUAUUACAGGACCUCCAUUGUCUAAACACCUCCACUAUUGCAGAACCUCCACUGUCCAUACAUCAACCAGCUCCACUGUCCCAGAGCCUGAGAUGUUGAAGAAUCUCCACUGUCACAGGACCUCCAUUGCUGCAGGACCUCCACUGUCACAGGACCUCCAAUGACUCAGCAACUACACUUUUGUAGGACCAGCAUUGUCACAGGAUAUGCACUGUUGGUAGGCCCUCCACUAGCCUAUAACCUCCACUGUCCCAGAACUUCCACUGUUGUAGCACUACCAGGGUCAAAGCAACUACACUGUUUCAGGACAUCAACUGAAGCAGGACCUCUAAUGAUGCUGCAGCUUCACUGUCACAGGAUCUCUACAUUUACAGGAAUACCCCUGGAUCAGCAAUUACAAUUUUGCAGGACCUCAGUUGUCACAGGACCUCCAUUGUAGCCAAACCUUCAAUGGUGCAGCAUCUCCACUGUAGGUAGAAUGACCUCCCCUAUCGCAGUGCCUCCACUUUCAAAGGACCUUCACUGUCACAGAACCUGCACUAUUUCAGUGCCUCCACUGUUACAGGACCUACCUCUUCACAGGAUCUGCACUGUUGCAGCAACUCUAAUUACACUUUUUCAAAGGCAUUACCAGUUAUUAGAUUUGAGGAUGAAUGGAAUGUAAUGUUACUUUUGAAAACAUAAGAAUUUGUCCUGUAUCACUUGUGAUUAAUGGCCACAUGUGCUAGGACCAGUAACCUAUGGAAGAUUCCCUGAUCUGAUAGCUCUGUAGCCCUCAUCUUGUUGAAGCUGUUGUCCUUAGAGGGUCAUACAGUUCAGGUGAAGGGAUUGGAUCAGCAAGACAACUCUGUGGAGUGGAGUACAAUUAAGUCGUAUUGAGUCCCAGCUGGGAAAAGGAGAAAUCCACAAGAUGGAGAAGGCUUGUGGUGGAGGAAGAACCGUAAAGUACUUAGAGAGUAUAAGGAGGUAAGAAUUGUGAGGAAAUGGAAAACAGAGCCAGAGGAAGAAUGACCACAGAGCAAAGUGGGAAGGGUAAAGCACAAAGGUACCUGGGUUGUGCCUUCUGCUUGUCCUCGGUAUGCUCUCCCUGUGCCUCAUUUAUGAGAGAACACAGUUCUGCCUUAUGUAAGGUUUCUUUCUUGAUGGAAAGGAGCAACACAACUUCAGGGAUUUUCUCAUCUUCUUGGUCCAUCCUUUAAGUCCUCUGGGAAGGCCCCAGCUGGGGAAAGGCCUGCUCUCAGCUGACAAACACCUGGAGAAUAGGUUGUCCUUUAUGUUCUAAUUGGUGCUGCUCUUGUAAGUGUGUCUGCUUGCUGAGUAAAUGCAGGGCAAACCUCUGUCAUGCAUGUAUGCUUUGUCCAGUGUGGCUGUCAUCGGAAGUGUCCUGGAGAGAAGGGCAGUCCAGUGACUCUUCUGCUUCCUUUUGACUAGCCUCAUUAUUAUAGGCAGACAUUAGACCCUUGGACGAUGAGGAGACCAAUGUGUCUAUGGUGUUCUCACUUCUACUUCUCUUUAGUCCUAAAGGGAAAUCAGUGCCAUCACCAGGGGUAGGGAAUGUUUGCCAUAACUGGACAAACUUGCUGACCUUGGGAUCUGCAGCAAUGCCCAUAGAGAGCCUGCCCUUACAGUAUGCAAUGGGAUGCCACGGCCUGGUAAAAUUUUCUUUGAUGUAAUAUAUCUAUAAUAUCUUAGGCUCAAAAGCCAAAAUAUCCAAUUGCUUCCACAUUAGCAGUGUCUGGCGUGAGGGCGAUCAGUUCCUCCAAGGAUUUGGGAACCAAUUCCAGUCUUCAUUGACCAGGGGUACAUCACUACUUCUAUGACUAUCAGCCCAUAUCUGGGGUUGACUGCCAUUAAGAUGCUACACAGAUCUCCUGCUCUUCAGACACCCAACAGUGGGCAGGAUACACACCGGCCACAACAUGUCUUCUCACCUUUUUAUAACAACUGAGUCAAAUCCUACAACAGUGAAUUAUAAGCCUACUCUUUAACUCAAAUAUUGUUCUUUGGACCAUUACAACAUUUGCCUAGGAUAUAAUAACAGGCAUCAAAAUUGUAAACACCGUAGUGCCAGCUCAUCAUUUGCUCAGGUUCAACUUUGGUAGGAAAGGCCAAAGUUGAUGAUUUUGACUUUUCCGUUCUUGUGUAACAAAAUAUCACUCGAUUUCAAGUCUCCGUGAACUACACUGUGCCCAUCCCAGUAUAUCGAGUCUGCUAAUAUUUGCCUAAAUAUUUCCCUGACCGUGUCUUCCUUGAGGUGGCAAGACUUUCAGAUGAAUUUGUAAAGCUAUAGAAUUUCAACUAGCUCCAUGAGAAGGUAUAGAUGUGUCUCAGACUCAAUUACUUGGUGAAGCAAUAUGAUAUUGGGGUGGAUGUAUAUCUUCAUUAUAUUGGCCAUGCUCUUGUCUGACUGGCACCCUUGCAGCUUCUUUGCAUGCACUUUGAUAACCACAGUAGCAGGACUUUCACUGUCCCAGUCACUGCACUAUCCUAAGACCUCCCUUGUCACAGGACCUCCACUGUGGUAGUACCGCAGCUGUCAGGAAACUCCACAGUCUCAUUACCUCCAAACUGCAAGAUCUCUACUGGCACAGGAAUUGUACUGCCCCUGGACUUCCACUGUCACAGCACUUCAACUGUUACAAGGACCUCUACUGUUGUAAGACCUCCUAUAUCACAGCACCUCCACGGUGACAAGGACCUGCAUUGGCAAAAGACCUCCAGUGUCUCACUGACUCAGGACUUUCAAAUUGCAGGAACUCUACUAGCACAGGUCAUCCACAGUUGCAGUUCCUCAACUGUUAUAAGGACCUCCAUUGUUGCAGAACCUUCAGUGUCCCUGCACCUUCACAGUCUCAGCAACGCCAACUUGCAGGACCUCUACUAGCACAGGAUGUCCACAGUAGGUAUACUUACCCUGUUGCAUUACCUCAUUUGUUGCAGGACCUCCGAUGUGGUAGGACAUCCACAUUUUCAGCAGCUAGACUUUUGCAGGACCUCUACUGGCCCAAAAAAUUCCUCUGUUCUGGACCUCCACUGACAGUGCAAAUGCACUGUCUCAGGACCUCCACUGUUGCAAGACCUCCGAUGUUGAAGGAUGUCCAUUGUUUUAGGACAUUCCCUGUCAAAGAACCUCAACUGACACACAACCUCUGCUUUUGUAGGAUUUUCACUGUCCUAGAAAACCAAGUAUUGAAGGAAUUAUCAACUUGGAGCAACUGCAUUGUAUUAGGACAUUUACUGUUGCAGGACCUGCAGUGUGGUUCCACCUCCAUUUUAGCCAGGUCUCAACUGUAGCAGGCUCAUCUCUGCUGAAUCAGCUCCUCCAACACUGCAGGACAUCCAAUAUUUCAGGUCCUCAAACAUCCCAGGACCCCAAUUGAUGGAGGACUUCCAAUGUUGCAGGACCACAAUAGUCACAGGUCCUCCACUGUCCCAUCACUUUUAUUUCUCCCAGCACCUCCACUCUCACAUGGCCUACAAUGUUGCCUAACCUCCAAUGCCUGAGCAACUACACUGUCUCAGGACCUCGAUUGUUCCAGAACCUCCAAUGGUGCAGGACCUCCACUGUCACCAGAUCUCCACUGUCUCAGAGCAUCCACUCUAACACCGACUAGACUUUUGUAGAACCUCUCCUGGCAUAGCAUCUCCAUUGUUGCCGGCCUUACAUUGUCUCCAAACCUCCACUAUCACAGGAAUGCCACUGUUGUAGAACCUCCGCCAUCACAGACCUCCACUGUUGGAGGACCUCCCCUGUCUAAACACAUCCACUAUUGCAGGACCUCCACUGUCCAAGGAAUUCCGCUGUUCCAGGACAUCCACUCUUGCAGCACCUGCAUUGUCUCUGGACUUCCACUGUACCAGUCCCAUCUCCAAUGUCUCAGGACCUCCACUCUUACAGGACCUCCAAUGUUCACAACCUCAAAUACAAAACUACACUAUCCCAGUGCCUCCACAGUUGCAGGCCCCAAACUGUCUCAGGAUCUGCACUGUUUCAUUAAUUCCCCUGUCCCUUUUUUGAAAGCAUUGCUGGUUAUUAGUUUUGAGGCUUAAUGGAAUGUGAUGGUAUUUUUGAAAAAAUAACAAUUUUUCCUGCACAUCUUGUGAUUAAUUACCAGAUGUGCUAGCAUCAGUUGCCCCUAGAGGGUUGCACGAGCCCACAGCCCUGUAGACCUCACCUUGUGGCAGCUGUUUUGUUUCGGUGGUGUUCCAGUCCAGAAGGCAUGGGGUCAGCAGGACAACUCUGUAGUCCGGGGUACACAUCAGUCACAUUGAGUCCUUGCUGGGAAAAGGAGAAAUCCAGAAGAGGGAGAAGGCGUGGGGAGGAGGAAGAAACAGACAGUACUUACAGAAGUUAAAUGGAAACUAUUUGCAGAAAUGGAAACCAGAGACACAGGAGGAAUCAGCACAGAGCAAACUGGGCAGGACAAGGCACAAAGGUACCUGGGCUGUGCCUGCCUGCUGCUUGUUCUUUGGAUGCUGUGUCUAUCCCUCAUUUCUCAGGACAGACACUAUCCUGUCCCAGGGGAGUUUUCUUGCAUGACCGAACAAAAGAACACUGCUUCACUUGGAUAUUCCUAAUUUCUUAGACCAUCUCUUAAAUCCUCUGGGCCAGGCCAUGCUGGGGACAGACUUGCCUACUCCAGAGGCACAGAGGGAUAAAAGCAAAGGGUAAUCAUCAUAGUGUUGGUUCUGUAUUUGCCCUAUAUCAACUUGGUUCAUAAGGCCAAAGACCAUGACUUUGACUUUUCCUUUCUUGUCCAAGAAAAUAUCAUGUAUUGUCUUCUGUGUUCUCAUUGCUGCUUCUGUUCUCCCUGAGAUUGUUUGUUGACUGAAGGCAGCAGACACUCUAGCAUGUAUUCUUUGUCCUGCAUGGGUGUCAUCUGGAAUGCCUGGAGGAGAAGGCCAGUCUCAGUGGUUCUUAAUCCUCUAUGACUAGCAUUAUGGACAUAGGCAGAAAAGAGGCCAGGGGGGAUGACAAGUCCAAUAUGCCAAUGGUGGGUUGGUUUCCACUCUAAAGUCCUAGUGGGAAAGCAGCAUAAUCAUAAGGGUAGGGAAUGGAGCCAGUCUGAGACUGGUUGUGAAGCCAGGCACUUGGAUAGCCUGCCCUUCCAGUAAGCAAUUGGAGGCCAUGGUCUGGUUAUACUAUCUUUGAUAUAAAGAUUCUUUAUAUCUUAGGCUUAGAACUGAAUAUAUUUUAUUACUUUCCUCCCAUUCUUUGAAGCAGGAUUGCGUUAUUACAUCUGUGAUUGUCAGCUUACAUCUGAGGUUUACUGUUAGUAAUAGAAAAUUAUGAUGGUUGACCAUAAACAUUGACAAAGAAGAGUUCAAGGGCACCAAAAUUGUAAGCACCAUAGUGCCGGUUUAGCAUUUGCCCUGUUCAAUUGGGGUACUAUGGAUAAAGUUGCUGAUUGUGGCUUUUCCAUUGAAAUCCAACAUUAUAUUAUAUGGCUUCAGGUAGCUGUGAAACAUUGUGUGCCUAUGGCAGUAGAUCAUCACUGCUGUUCUUUGCAAAAUAUUUUCCUGACCUUGUCCUGUUUUAGGUAGCCAUACUUUUGGAUGAAUUUGGAAAGCUGUUGACCUUCAACAAGCUCCAUGAUGAGACAUAAUUUUGUUUUGCUCACAAUGACUUGAAGUAGUGAGAUCAUGUUGAGGUGGUCACCCAUCAUCAUCAAUGCCAUGGUCAUUACUGGCUAGCAUCAUUGCUUCUACAUUAGCAGGACUUUGAUGUCCACUAUGCAGCAACUCCACUGUGAUAGAUACUCUGCUGUCUAGGCAACUCCACUUUCUAAGGACUCCAAAUUUGAGGACAUCUACUAGCACAGGAUGUACACAUUUGCUGGACUUUCACUGUUGCAGCAACUCAACUCUUAAGGGAUGCCCACUGUUGCAGGUUUUCCAAUGUCUCAGCCCCGCCACUCUUGAAGGACCUUCACUAUUGUAGGACCUCCACUGUUGAAGCACAUUGAUUAUCUCACCAACUAGAAUUUAUAGGAUGUCAACUGGCACAGAAAGUCCACUGUUGCAUGACCACCAUUCUCACUGAAAAUCUACUGUCUCAGGACCUCUACCUUUGUAGGACCUCCAGUGUAGAAGGAUGUCCACUGUUGCAUGUCCACCACUGUCACAGGACCUCCUCUGUCACAGGACUUCCACUCUUCCAGGCUCAUCUCCACUGUCUCAGGAUUUCUACUAUAUCUCUAGGACCUCCAAUGUCGCAGGACCUCAACUGACACUGGACCUUCACUCUCCAAUCACCUUAACUAUCAAAGAACCUCCACUGUCUCAGGACCUUCACUGUUUCAGGACCUCCAAUGUUGGAGCAACUGUACUGCCUCAGGGGCAGGACCUCCAUUGUCACAGGGCCUCCACUGUCACAGGAUAUCAACUCUUUUAGACUUUUACAGGAUUUCUGCUGGCACAUGACCUCCAUUGUUGAGGGUUCUCCACAGUUUCAUUACUUUUACAUUGAAAGGAAUACCAUUCUGGCAGAACCUCCACUGUCCCAGGACCUCCAGUAUUACGGACUUCCUCAGUCCAAGUAGCUCCAUUAUUGAAGGACAUUUCUGGUUGCAGGACAUCCACUUAUACAGUGCCUCCAUUGUUAUAGGACACCCACUGUUCCAGCCUAAUCUCCACUCUCUCAUUAUCUCCAAUAUUUUAUGAUUGCCAAUAAUGGUGGACUUCCAUUGUUACAGUAAUUCCACUAUCUCUGUGCCUACAUUGUUCCAGGACCUACACUGACUCAUGAUAGGCACAGCUGCAUCAAGUUCACUUUCAAUUUUUAUUGACAUUGCUAGUUAUUAUAUUUGACCCUUACUGGAAUGUGAUGUUACUUUUGAAAGCCCAAGAAUUUGUUUUUUUAGCACAUGUGACUGAUUUCCACAUGUUCUAGGACUGUUAUCCCCUGGAAGAUCACAAGAGCUCAUAUCCCUCUAUUACUCACCUUGUGGGAGCUGUUGCCUUUCAGAGGGUAAUGCAAUUCAGGUGAAAGGAUAGGAUCAGCAAGUGAUAACUUUGUAGAGUGGGGUAUACAUCAGUCACAUUGAGUUCCUGAUGGGAAGAGGAGAAAUCCAGAACAGGAAUAACCCUUGGCAUAGAGGAAGAAUCAAAAAGUGCUUACAGAAGGUAAGAAGGUACCAAUUUUAAGGAAAUGGAAAUGAUAGAGGAAGAACCAGCACAGAGCCAACUGAGUAGGACAAAGCACCAAGGUACCUGGGCUGUACCUGGUCCUUGUUCUCUGCAUGCUAUCCUUAUUCCUUCUUUUUGGGGAGAAUCUCUGUCCUGCCUCUUGUGAAGUUUCUUCUUGAUGUAAAGCCAUGACAAAGGUUCAUCAGGGAACUUCCCCCAUUUCUUCCUCCAUCUCUUAAAGCCUCUGCUCCGACACCAGCUGGUGAAUAUCUUGCACUCUUCUGAAGCACAGACAGAGAAUAUGUUGUUUUUUCUGUUCUCAUUGAUGCUACUCUUCUCCCUGAAGCUGCUCAUUCAGUAAAUGUGGGAGACAGUGUCUUUUGUCCAGUGUUGGUGUCAUCUGGAGUGGCCUGAAGAGAAAGAAGGCCAGUCCCACUGGGUCUUCUGCCUACUCUAUAACAAGCAUUUUGGAUAAAAACAGAAAUUAGACCAUUGGAAGAUGACGAAACUAAUGUGCUGAUGGUGGGCUGGCUUCUGCUCUUCUUUAUUCCUAGAGGGAAAGCAGCAUCAGCAUCAAUGUUAGGGAAUGGUGCCAUAACUGUUCUCACUAGGUGACACUGUGUUGUGCAGCCAUGUCCCUUGAGAGCCUGCCCUUGCAGUAAGCAAUAGGAUGCCAUGGUCUUGAUAUACUUUUUUUGGUACCUGUAGUAUCUAGGGCUUGGAACCAAAUAUAUUGUAUUGCUUCCACAAUUGCAAGUUCUGUCCUGAGUGUGAUCAGUUGCUCAUAGGGACUUGGGAAUGCUUUUCUGUCUCUCUUGAACUAGAUUUGCAUGAUGGCGUCCAUGACUGUCAGCCUGUAUCUGGGGUUUACUCUCAUUAAGAACUUAUGCAGGUCAUCCAGCUCUUCUCAUCUCCCACAGGGGGCAGGAUUCACACAGGCUACAACCUGACUUCUCACCCCUUGUAUGACUAGUCAAAUGAAACCUCUGACUACCAUGAAAUAUAAGACUACUCAUGUCUUCCCUGUGUCAUUCUUUGGACUAUCAUAAAAUUUGCCUAGAUAGAGCUCCAUGGCAGCAAAAGGUAAUCAUCAUAGUGCCGGUUCUCUAUUUGCCCUAUAUCAACUUGGUUCAUAAGGCCAAAGACCAUGACUUUGACUUUUCCUUUCUUGUCCAAGAAAAUAUCAUGUGUUUUGAGGUUUCUUUGAACUAUUAUGUGACUAUGGCAGUAGUUCAUGCCUGAUAGUAUUUACCUAAAUGUUUCCCUGGUUUUGUUCUCCACCAACUGGCCAGCUGUUCAGAUGUGUCUGUAAAACUGGUGACCUUCAAGUAGCGUCAUGACAAGGUAUUGUCUUGUUUCAGACUCAAUUACUUGGAGUAGUGAAAUGAUGUUGGAAUGGUCAAAAAUCAUCAGUACAUGUGCCAUCUUCAUUACUGGCUGUCACCCUUGCUUCUUCUUUACCAGCACUUUGACAGCCACUGUAGCAGGACAUCCACUGUUCCAGUAUGGUAAUGACCCAGCACCUCCACUAUCACCGUUCUUCCACUCUUGCAGGACCUCCACUCUUGCAGGACCUCCACUCUUGCAGCACCUGCAUUUAGUCAGGACCUCCACUGUACCAGUCCCAUCUCCACUUUCCCAGGACCUCUACUCAUGCUGGUCCUCCAAUGUUGCCUGACCUCCAAUGUAAAAGUACCUGCACUAUCUCAUUGCCUCCAGUAUUGCAGGACCUACAUUGUCACAGGAUCCACACUGUUCACUAACUCCACUGUCACUGUUUUGAAGGAAUUGCUGGUUAUUACUUUUGAGGCUUAAUGGGAUGUGAUGUUACUUCUGACAACUUAAGAAUUUGUUCUUCAGCUCUUGUGAUUAAUUGCCAGAUAUGUUAGGAUCAGUUGCCCCUGGAAGAUUCCAUUACUCUAUAAUAGGCCUCUAGGCCUGACCUUGAGGGAGCUGUUGUAUUUGUGGGGUGCUCUAGUACAGAUGAAGGCAUGAGUGGGGUCAUAUUGAAUGCCUGCUGGGAAGUAGAGAAAUAUAGAACAGAGAGAGCGCUUGGUGUGGACCAAGAAUCAUUCAGUACUUACAGAAGUUAAAAAGGAAAUAAUUUUGAAGAAAUGGAAAUCAGAGACACAGGAGGAACCAUCAUAGAGUAAAUUGGGUAGGACCUAGCACAAAGGUACUUGGGUUGGGCCUGCAACUUGUUCUCUGGAUGCUCUCCCUGUGCUUCAUUUCUCAAAAGAGACAAGGCGUUCUGCCUCAGGUGAGAUUUCUUUCUUGAUGGAGAGCAGCAACACAUUUUCAUCAGGACAUUUUUUUAUUUCUUGUUCCAUCCUUAAAGCCUUUUGGAUGGCCACUACUGGGGACAGUGUUGCCCUCUCCUUAGGCACAGAGGAAUAAUAGGUUGUCUUCUGUGUUCUCAUUGCUGCUUCUUUUCACCCUGAGGCUGCUUGUUGACUGAAGGCAGAAGACACCCUGGCAUGUAUGUUUUGUCCAGUGCAGGUGUCCUCUGGAGUGGCCUGAAGAGAAGGCCAGUCUCAGUGGUUCUUCUGAAUCCUCUAUGACUAGAAUUAUGGACAUAGGCAUAAACAAGGUUAUGGGAGAUGACAAGUCCAACGUGCCAAUGGUGGGUUGGUUUCCACUUCUCUGCAGUUCAGGCCUAGUGCGGAAGUAGCAUACUCAUUAAGGGUAGGGAAUGGAGCCAUAACUGGAGUAACUGUCUGAGGCUGGUUGUGAAGCCAGGCACCUGGAUAGCCUGUCCUUCCAGUAAGCAGUUGAAUGCCAUGAUCUGCUUAGACUUUCUUUGAUAUAAAGAAACAUUAUGUCUUGUCUUUUGAAUGGAACAUAUUGCAUUACUUCCAAAAUUCCAGGGUGUGGCUUGAGAGGUAUCAUUUCCUCAUAGGGGUUUGGGAAAUGGCUCCCAUUCUUCUUUGAAGCAGGGGUGCAUUAUCAUGUCUAUGAUGGAUAUAUCUGGGUUUGACUGUCAUUAAGUUGCUAAGCAGGUCAUCUAGCUCUCUUGACACCCAACAGUGGUCAAGAUACACACCUGCCACAUGUCUUCUCAGCUCGUGUAUGAAAAUAGAGGCAACAUUUCCAACUACCUUAAAAUGUAAGACUCUAGCAUUCAUAUGUGGUUCUUUGAACCAUCAUAAAUUUAUCCUAGGAAGAGUUCAUGGGCAUCAAAAGUGUUAGCACCAUUGUACAGGUUCAGCAUUUGCUCUGAUUGUCUUGGGUACUAAGGUCAAAGUCAAUGAUUUUGGCUUUUUGUUUCUUAUCCAACAUAUUAGUUGUUUUCAAGUCCUGUGAUUAUUCUGUGCCCCUGACAGUAGAUCUAGGCUGUUAAUAUUUGCAUAAACAUUUGCCAGGCCUUGUCCUUCACUAUGUAGCCAUACUUUGAGAUACAUUUGUAAAGAUGUUGAACCUCACCCAGCUCCAUGACAAGGUAUCCACUUGUUUUGGUCUCAAUUACUUGUAGAUGAUGUUGGGGUAGUUAAACACAAUUGUUGUCAUUGCCAUGGUCAUUACUGGAUGGCAUAAGUGCUUCUUCCUCACAAGGACUUGGAGGCCACUGUAUCAGAACAUCCACUGUCUUAGCACCUGCUUUUACCCAACACAUCCACUGUACUGACUGUCCAAGCCUAUGUUUUGUUGCCUUGCCCCUGAACUUCCUGCCAUUGCAGAAGGAAGUAGGAUGAUAUGGUCUGAUUAAUACAUUAUCUGGUUGAAGUGUCCUUAGUUUCUAGGGCUUGGAAUCCAAUGUAUUCCAUUGCUUUUUCACAUUAGCAGGGUCUGGCCUGAGGGGGAUCAGUUGCUCAUAGGGAUUUGGGAACUGCUUCUAGUCUUAGUUGAACUAGGGUUGCAUCAUGACCACAAUGACUGUUGGCCUAUAUUUAUGGUUGACUAUCGUUAGGAGGCUAAGUAGGUCUUCCAGCUCUUCUGACACCCCACCAGAGGCAGCACAUACCUCUACUACAACGUGUCUUCUCAGCUCCAAAAUUAAGAGAGAAUCAAAUGGAAACUUUCUGACUGUCAAGAAUUAUAAAAUUCCACCCAAGGUCCAUAUUUUGUUCUUUGGAACAUAAGAAAAUUUUUCAACGAAGAGUUCAGGGACACCAAAAGUAUAAGUAUCGCAGUGCUGGUUCAGCAUUUCCCCUGGGUAGAAUGAGGUACUAGGCCAAAGUUCAUAAUCUUGACUUUUCAAUUGAUAUACAAACCAGCACUCUUUGGCUUCACGUCCCUGUGAAGUAUUGUUUGCCCGUAGAAGUGGCUCAUCACAGCUAUUAUUUGCACAAUAUUUCCCUAGCCUUGACUUGCUCUAGGUAGGCAAAUUUUGGCACACAGUAAGCAAGAUGAUCUCCUAGUUUGAUUAUGCAUUGUAAUAUGUUAGACUCAGAAUCCAUUAUGUUGCAGUUCUUCCACAAAUGCAGGGUCUAGCCUGACAGAGCUCAGUCCUUCAUAGAGAUUUGGGAAAGACUUUCAGUCUUCCUUUAACCAGGGGUACAUCACCCCAUCUGUGACUGUCAACCUAUAUUUCAUGCUGACUAUCAUGAAGAGGCUAAGUGGUCCUCCAUCUCUUCUGACACCCUGCGGGGGUUAGGAUACAUACAUGCCACAAUGGUCUUCUCAAUUAUAGUAUGAAUACAGAGUAAAAUCUGACUUUUUUAACUACCAUGAAAUGUAAAACUCAGGUCCAUUUGUCGUUCUGUGGACUAUCAUAAAGUUGCUGAGGAAGAGUUCAGGAGCUCCAAAAGAGAAAGCACCACAGUGCCACUUCAGCAUUGCCCUGGUUCAACUAGGGUUCUAAGGCAAAAGUCUAUGAUUUUGACUUCUCCAUUUAUGUCCAAUGGUAAACUUAUCAGGUUUCUGUUCCCUGUGCACUAUACCCUGGUCAUUUCAUUAGCUCACAGUUAUGAUUAUUUGCCUAAAUAUUUCCCUGCCUUUGUCCUCCCCUAGGUGGCCCCAUUUUCAGGUGCUUUGGUAGAGCUGUUGUCCUUCAACAAGUUCUUACUUGCAGAAGUGAGAUGCUGUUCAGGUGGUCGACCAUCAUUGUCUCUGCCUUGGUCAUGAGUGUCAGGCACCAUUGCUUCUUUAGAAGCUGUUCGAUUGCUCUGGGGCUGCCACUGAGUCGAAGGCGUUGCUCCUGUGUCCCAUGGUCCUUAAGACUUUGUAUUGAGAGUGGAAUUUUCCCUCAUCAGAAAUUCUGCUGAGGGCUAGGGUGUGGAGUCUGCUCUUUACUAUGUGUAAGCAUUGUAGCUAAAGAUACUACAAAUAUUACCUAGAAAUAACUUAAAAGUAUAGAAUAAAAAUAAUGGAAACGAUGUAGGGAAACUGAAGCUAAAAUCACAGCAUGUGUUAACUAAAAAUGACCAAAAUGUCUUUGGGAUUGCAGUUUAUUCUUUUAUUUGUUUCUGUUUUACUUUUUGUUUUUGUUUGUUUCUUUGUUUUUUGGCUCUCUCAAGAGGGCAACCCUGUAGUGCAAUAGAUCACAGAUUCAGAUGAUGUCAGGUGAAAUAGUCAUUGGCCACAUAAAGGCUAAAGCCUGUGUUUGGGCAAUGGAAGGAAAGACACAGCAGAACUUUUUGGGGAAUGGAGAGAAAGAAGAAUAGAGGCGGAAGAAUCGGCCAAAAAGAAGAUGGGGGAGAAAGAGGUUGUAAAUGGAGCAGGAGCCACAAGUAGGUAGAGAUUUUAUAAAUGGGCAAUAGAGUAGUGUAGUGGUACAUUUGUCUAAUCUAAGCACUCAGCUUAUAAUUAUAUAAUUGAGUUUUCUGUUCUUGCAUGGGCCUUUUGCGUUGGAGAUUUACCCCUAUAAAUCUGGCUAGUAUAAGCCUCUUGUGUUUUCAUUACAAAAGACUAAGACAAAUCCUGUGAGAGGAGCAUUGGCCAGCCUUCUGCAGGUCAGGGAGAUGGGGUGGAUGAGAUAAGAAACGCAAGCAGCAGUCCAGGCAUUUCAGAUUAAAGUUGUUUGGUUAGAGUAGCAAACUAGGAGCAGGAACCAGGCAAGAUGGCAGCAUAGAGCUGGCCAUGUGGGUUGAGCGUUACCACUGAUACCAGAGCAUAGCAGGAAUUUGCAUUCCUGUGUUCUCAUUGCUGUUGUGUUCUCUCUGAGGAUGAUUAUUGAGUGAAUUCAGGCGACACUGCUGGCGUGGAUGUAUGUUUGUCCAGUGUGGGUGUAAUCUGGUGUGGCCUGAAGAAACAAAAGGCAGCCCCAGUGACUCUUCUGCCUACUUUUUGACCAGAUUGUGGUCAAAGGAAGUCACUAGACCAUUGGAUGAUGAUGAGGCCUGUGCAUAUAGGGCGGGGUAGCUACCACUCCUCUACAGCCCAACAGGAAUGCAUCAUCAUCACCAAGGGGAGGGAAUAACUGGACUCUAUGUGUGAGCCUCCAUUGUUCAGCCUUGCACCUGGAGAACUUGCCUGUACAGUAAGCCACAUGAUCCCACGGUUUGAUUAUAUGUUGUGAUAUCUUAGGCUCUGUACCCAGUAUGUUCUAUUUCUUCCACAAUUGCAGGGUCUACCUGACAGAGCUCAGUCCUUUGUAGGGAUUUGGGAAAGCCUUUCAAUCUUCCUUUAACCAGGGGUACAUCAUCACAUCUGUGACUGUCAACCUAUAUUUCGUGUUGACUAUCAUUAAGAGGCCAAGAGGUCCUACAUUUAUCUCUUCUGACACCCCACAGAGGUUAGGAUACAUACUUGCCACAACUGGUCUUCAAAACUGUAGUAUGAAGACAGAGUAAAAUCUGACUUUUUUAUCUACCAUUAAAUGUAAAACUAUGGUCCAUAUGUCAUUCUGUGGACUAUCAUAAAGUUUUCUGAGGAAGAGUUCAGGAGCUCCAAAAGAGAAAGCACCACAGUGCCAGUUCAGCAUUGCCCUGGUUCCACUUGAGUUCUAAGGCAAAAGUCGAUGAUUUUGACUUUUCCAUUUAUGUCCAACAUAAUCUUAUCUGGUUUCAGUUCACUGUGUACUAUACCGUGCUCAUGGCAUUAGCUCACAGUUGCUAUUAUUUGCCUAAAUAUUUCCUGCCCUUGUCCUCCUCUAGGUGGCCCCAUUUUCAGGUGUUUUGGUAAAGCUGUUGUCCUUCAACAAGCUCUUACUUGGGGAAGUGAGAUGCUGUUCAGGUUGUCGACCAUCAUCAUUGUUUCUGCCUUGGCCAUGUGUGGCCUACACCAAUGCUUCUUUACAAGCAGUUUGAUGGCCAUGGGACUGCUAGGGAGGCGAUGAUGUGAUAUCGGGACCUUGGCAUUGCUCCUUAAGUCCUUAAGACUUUGUACUGAGUGUGGAAGUUUCCCUCUGCUGGGGCCUAGGGUGUGGGAAAUCCUCCUUACUAUGUGUAAGCAUUGUAGCUAAAAAUACUACAAAUAAUACCUAGAAAUAACUUUAAAAGUGUAGAAUAAAAAUAAUGAAAAAGAUGUUUGGAAACUGAAGCUAUUGUCACUUCAUGUGUUAACUAAAAUGAGCAAAAUGUCUUGUGGAUUACUGUUUGAAUUUUUUCCUCUCAAGAGGGCGGCCCUGUAGUGCAAUAGAUCACAUAUUCAGAUGAUGUCAAGUGAAAUAGUAAUUAGCCAUAUAAAGGCUACAGCCUGUCAUUGGGCAAUGGAAGGAAAAGAUAGAGCAGAAUGUUUUGGCAAAGGGAGAGAAAGAAUAGAGACGGAUGAUGCGGGCAAGAAGAAGAAGAUGGGGGAGAAGAGGUGGAAAAUGGAGCAGGCCCAUGGGCUUGCAGGAGCCACAAGUAGCUAGAGAUUUCAUAAAUGGGCAAUAGAGUAGUGUAGUGGUAGAUUUGUCUAAUCUAAGCACUCAGCUUGUACUUAUAUUAUUGAGUUUUCUGUUCUUUGACUGGGACUUUUGGAGUUUGAGAUUUACCACUAUAAAUCUGGCUAGUAUAAGCUUCUGGGUUUUCAUUUCAAAAGACUAAGGCAACUCCUGUGAAAGGAGCAUUAUCCAACCUUCUGCAGGUCAGCCAGAGGUGGUGGAUGGGAUGAGAAAUGCAAGCAGUAGUCCAGGCAUUUCAGAUUAAAGUUGUUUGUUUAGAGUAGCAAACUACCAGCAGGAACCAGGACAAGAUGGCUGCAUAGAGCUAGCCAUGUGGGUUCAGCAUAACCACUGAUACCAGAACAUAGCAGGAAUUUGCAUGGGUUUAAUUUAAAACUUCAUGCAAUAGAUGAUGUUGCGUGUGGUAGUCAACAAUCCACUAGGGAGUUAGGAUUCUUGUCCUAUGGAUGAGAGAAUUAGAUUCCUGAAUGAGCAGAGAUGAGUCAAGUGACUCCAGCACAUGGGAAUCUUAAUCAAACACAGUGAUAGACAGACCCAAAUCAGGCUCUGAGUUCUCCUCCUGUAAAAAGAAUCAGUAUAAUAAAUGGAUCCAGGCAGAGAGGGAGACUGAAGACUGCCUGCUUUUAAUGAAGUUUGGUUUAGUUGUUGCUAAUUUGGUGUAAUUUUGUUUAAAGAUAGAAGAGGACACAAUUUUGGCCACAGUCACCUGGGGAAUUCCUCCUGAGGUUCAGAGCUAACUCAGGGCAAAUGAGCCCAGAUUAUCUGGGAGCUCCUGCUGUGCAGGGACAAACUGAGCUAACAGAAAAACUACAGCCUCCAAGGCAGACAACAGAAUUUGGAUAAGGAUGAAAUCCUCUAGGAAAGUCUCAGUGUAUCACAGGAUUCUCCUAUUCUCUCAAAAGAGGGUUAAAUAUCCUGUCUUGGCAGAUUAGAAAAGGCCCGAAAAAACUGUUUCUACUCUGCUUGUUUGGUUUAGUUCCCUCGUAUGAGUAUUUAAUUUUCGAAAUGUGUGUGAUUUUGAAUUUUCUGGUUAUUUUACUAUUCCUCUGGGAAAGAUGUCAACCUAAAAAUCUUUCUGGUUACUGGCUAAAGCGCAUGCUAAUUUGGGAGAAAGACCUUAUGUUUCUGCUUAUAGGAAAAGUAAUUAGGCACUGGACUCCUUCCAGGGUUCUCUGGGUCAGAAAGGGCAGAGUGAGCCCCCCUGAAGAACUAGAAAAUUCAAGAGAACCAAGCAAGAAAGGUAAAGAUUCCUUAUGCCAUUGUUCACAAUGCAUGAACGAAGACUUAUGAUUAGUUAUUAUUAAAUUUGGCUCAUAAAAAGACUAUCUUUUCACAUGCUUAAACAAAGAGCAGAAUUUCAUCUUGAGUAGUCAAGGUAUUUUAUGUUAAACUGGUUCCCAAUUGGCUUAGCAAUCAAGCCUCAGGAUGCAGGGUACCAAGUGCAUAGAAGUAGCCAUAGGGACUGGGUGAAACUCUGAUGCCUGUGUUUAGCCAGACUUAGUGUGGGGUUAUUUUAAAAUUACAUGGAACAAAAAGUGCUUGAAAUAAACUAAAGUCAAAGUUAGGAAAAUAGAAUACAAAUUAUGGAAAAGAUAUCAGGGAAAAAGCUAAAGUCAAAAAUCCCAACUAAAAUCCAAACAAAUAACCCACCUUGUAUUCUGUUCAGAAAAGUCACGAAGCUCUCUAGAAGGAGACAAGACAGGAUGCAGCUGUUGGGCUAUCUCAGGCAAACUCUGCACCGGAGCACCUGUUCAAAGAGAUUAGAAUAUCAUUAUUGUAUCAUGGAUGUUUACUGGGAGAAUGGAAUGAUUUAAUAGCUGAGUUGUGGAAUUCUAUUGAUCUAUAAAAUAACCUAUGCAGUGGAUAAUAUAAAGUUAUGAAAUAUCUUCCAGCUUCAUUAAUCAGAACUAUAAAAUUUCAAUCUAGCCCAUGGAUGCUGAUGGUAACUGUCGCUUCUGUUUCCGACCCGCAGAAAAGAGCGACUACACAGCGUUCUUCUCAAAGCGGUUUAUUCAGGAACCUUACAACAUGCAAACAGGAAUCUUCUUUUCUUCUGUCUCCCUCCCAGCCCAGCCCCCGGAGCACACUCCCUUAUACCCUCCCUCAACUCCGCCUCCUCAGUCCAGACUGCGUAAUCUCAGUUCCUAGGUCCACGUCACAUGGCCUGAUCUUGCAUCAUGGUGCGCCUGCACAGCUCUCACAAUGGACGUGGCUAGUUUCAGGUGUGUGAGGAAGUCAGAUGCUAGUCAGGAGACUUAGCUGCAGUCCCAGGCGCCAUCUUGGGACUACCGCCACACCCGCUCCCCACAGGUAACUGUGAUUUCAAGGUCAUUUCCAAUCAUCUAUGUUAAGUGUUUUGACUCAAGGAAACUGGCAUUGCCAUAGAUGAAAUCAGUAAAAGGCAUAUUUAUUUCUUCUUUGCCACAUAACUAGACAAAUGUCAGUUCAAAAAGUUGCGAUUAUUGAGUGUACUUUUUUCAUCUCAGUUACUUUAUGUAUUUUUUCAUUUAUUUAAAUUUCCAUACAUGUAUACAGUAAAAUAUGGUCAUAUCCACCCUAACAUCUGUCCUCCAACUUCUAAAAAAUCCCUCUCAGAAUCCCCCGAUUGACUCUAUAGCCCUGGUUGGUCUGGGACUUGCUGUGUAAAUCAAAUUAGUCUAGAACUCACAGAGGUCCACCUGAAUCUGAUCCUGGGCUUAAAAGUCAGCACCACUAAACCAUUCCUCUGUGUGUGUGUGUGUGUGUGUGUGUGUGUGUGUGUGUGUGUGUGUGUGUGUGUGUGUGUGUGUGUGUCUGUGUGUGUGUGUGUGUGUGUACGGAAAUAUACAUACACACAUUUUUGUAUCCCAGUAAGCCCUAUUAGUGCUAGUCAUACAUGCAUACUGUGUAUACAGACAUUCACUGGAUUAUCAGAGUCCUACCAGUGGCUUGUCCCCAAGGAAGAGUGAAUUUCUAUCAGCUGUUGUUAACUGCAGCUCCUCAUUUGAUGCAAGGGCUUAUAAGUUCUUCUCCCACCCAUGCACGAUGUGCAAACAAAUGACACAGCCACCUCUGUCACUUUACUCGGUUAACAUAUACUAAUAAAAUGUUAUGGUAUUUUCAAAUUUAUAUGUAUAUGUAUUGUAUAUGUAUAAUGACACAUUGUAUAUACUUGUAAUGGCUAUUCUUGGUUGUGAACUUGACUAUAUGUGGAAUGAACUUCAAUCCAGAAUUGGAAAGCUCACCUUUGAUCCUGAUUUGAGGCUGGGAGACACAAAUUUCUGAACUGAAUCUUGGCAUGGAGAUCAUGAGGCAAAGUGGCUAUGAAUCUCAGGAGUUUAAGACAAGGAGAUCUCUGAGUUCAAGGUCACCUAGGACAAAGCAAGUCCCAGUUCCAGCUGUGGUGGUACACACCUUUAAUCUGGGACAUACCUUCUGCUGGAGAUUUAUAUAAGGACAUUGGAAGAAGGAAGAGUCUCUCUUUCGUCUGCCUGCCUGAUUUGUAGGACUGAGCCACUGCUAGAUCCUUGGACUCCUAUUCAUACCUGCUGCUGAUCAUUGUUGGGGAGUUGGACUAUAGACUGCAAGUCAUCAACCAAUUGUCUUACUGUACAGAGAUUUCCCAUAAGAUCUGUGUCUCUAAAGAACCCUGUAUGAGACAAUUCUCUUUUAUAAUAUAUAAUUUCUAUUGAUAGAUAAUGUAAUUUAUUAUUUUAUUCAUAAUAUUAUUAUAUUCAUCCCUAUGUUUAUAUGUAAACAAAACACAGGUUGUAUGCCUAUGAAACAGUAACACACUGCAUACUUGAUGACUGCUGUCUUUUCCCUACUCCCUACUGCAGGGGAGAAAAUGGACCAUUCUCAUCAAUGAAAAAGGUAAAAUAAAAUGUUAACUAUUGGCUGAAACACAGAUGGUUUGCACAUAAAAUUACAUCUUCUUGAUUGCUACUUUAGAAAUUUUUCUUCAUUUCCUGAAGUCACUUUUUAUGAUACAUUACUAUAUCAAAUACUAUCUCAUAGUUUUUAAGGUAAGUUAUUUUUAUUGUUGGUACAAAAGUAUACACAUAGUGUUGUGCAACUUCCAGUAAUAUCCGGGUAGGGCUUCAUGCACAUGACUGUAUGGUUUAAUACUUCCCUAUGUGAUCCAAAGCUCUUUUGUUGUCAUAUUAUGAUCUCUAAGCAGAAUAUUUUUGAUCCUGAAAUUAUAUACAAUACCUAACUUUUUUUAAAACACUUCAUUAGCUCUCUCCAUAGAAUGCUAUUUAAGUGUGUUUGACUGUUCGGUCCCAGGAUAUGAAUUCCAGUAGAGCACUUUCUGGAUAAUAUUUCCUUACAAAGUGUUGUUAACUGCUUCCUCCAAGAAGUUAAUUUCUUGUUUUGAAAUUUAAACCUUAUGUUUAAAUAGAAGAUAGAGAAGGCAGAUGCUGGAUUAUUUAGUACCAAGCUGGUUUUCUGUCCUGAUAUGGGUAAGGGCUGGUCACUUGAGGUGUUUCUCAUUCCUUUGGAUUUGUAGCUGUUUCAGACUUUAUAAAUAAUCAUUUUGAGUAUUACAAGUCUAUGGGCAUUUUCUCACCAAAUUGUCCAUUUUUACAGGAGUAUUUUUCUUACAAGUUUGGAACCAUAAAAUAGAAACUUUCCUAACUAGUCAAGCUACUAGGGUGUAUGUGGGCAGGAUUUUGCACAUUUCCUGCUGUGUGAUUUAAUUGUGCUCUUCUGACCAUUUUUUUUUGCAUAGGCUGCUGGCCAGUAUAAACUGGAAAUCUAUGUUAAGUCGUUGUCCAAGGAGGUAUUGCAGAUGUGGUCAGUAUUUGUUUUAAAGGAAACAGUGAAAGGCAUUCUUCACUCGAGCUUUGUGAAAUACUGUGCAGAUGCUUAUGGCUGUGGAUGCUGUGUGGUGUGAGGAAUGCUGCUGUACACUGACUGUGUGGUGUGAGGAAUGCUGCUAUGCACUGACUGUGUGGUGUGAGGAAUGCUGCUGUGCAUUGACUGUGUGCUGUGAGGAAUGCUGCUGUGCAUUGACGCUGCCUUUUUUCUUUUCUCCCUACACCUGCAUCCUUCUGGUGGCUCAGGUUGGACAACUAGGUGCCCAUGACCAAGUCCUCAUUGUGGAUGGAUUUAGUCUAUUUGGACAUUCUCAGGAAAGGUAUGACUAAUUGGUUCCUUUAAAGCCUCAACUGAUUGGUUAGUUUUAAUGUACUGAAGUGAUAUUUUGCAUUUUGAAAUUUGAAUUCAAAAAGUAGUGAUGUAAAAGAUCUUUGUGUUUAAUCACCUUCCCCAAUAAUCCUAGUUCUUAGAGCACAGGAAUCUCAUUUUGUGUUCACUCUUAAGAAUGUAUAUUAGUAUAGAGUAUUACCUUAAAUAAUUAUAUAAAUAUGUACACAUAUACUUAGAGCUUGUAAAAUGUUUAAAUAUCUUAAUGUUAAUGUUAUAGAAUAGAAUAUACUUACCUGUUUUAUAAUUAAUUAUCAUAAGUGAUGUAGAGAGGACAUAAUCUUCUGAAAGCCUGGUUUAUUUCCCCAAACAGCAACCAGGCUGAGGAACCUAAGCACAAGUAUUCUGAACAUAGACUCUACUGUGACAGUGACCGCUGUUUCUUUAUAUUUUCUUCCUAGGGCAGCAGAACUCAUGACUACAACCAGUUCCAUGGUUACCCUGGAAGUUGCAAAUCAAGGCAUCCUCUUUCACUGCCUGUCCACCUUUCUUACCCAGCCAUUGUCCUCCAUGGUGCAGAGAGGUAAGAACUAGUGACUCAAGCCAGGUUAGCCAACAUAUAGUGAUCCUUUAUUGAGAUAUGGCUCCUCCUAAAAGUUAUCAAAAUCUGGGGCUGGAAAGAUGGUUCAGUAUUUUACAACACCAGUGUUAGCCCAAAACUGCCCGAAACUCUAAUUUCAUGGGAUUUAAAGCACUCUAUUAAGUUCUCUGGAUUCGUGUGCACACAUGCUGAGCAAACACUCAUACACAUAAAUUAUUUUUAUAAAGAGAGCCCCUAAAAUUCCCAUGUAGUAGCUCCUACCACAGCUCUUGCUCAGCUCUUCAAGGAAGAAGUCAGUUGAGACAGAGUGAAUGAUGCUGAGAAAUACUUCUGGAUCAUGAUUCAGAUCAGAUCUAAUGGUACGGUUUCCUAGAUAUAGUCACAGUCUGUUAAGUGCAGUAUUGUGAACCCUCUUCUGACCCUGCCUCGGCUUUGGAACCUGAACACCCUAGCCCUGACCUUUGUAGCUACAGUAUCAACAACAAUAUCAGUGUCUGACAGUCUAGAAUCCUGUAUACUAAAGCGUAGAACAGGAACCAAUCCUGGCUAGACCAUGUGUUGGCAUGUUAAAGCAGAACACCAUUUACAAACUCAAAGAGGGACGUGGGUAACAAAUGAGUCCCAGGUGAGCAGACAGGAAGACUAAACUGUGAACAGGUGUGGAUAAUCACACCAGGGGACAGCACCAUGUGAUGCUGUCAUUCUGAUGGAUAAUAAUAUGUGUGUUAUCAAGUGAGAGAAGAGAAGUUGAGUGCUUUUUAAAAAAUACUCUAAAAUGGUUACUUUGUUAUUUACAAAUUAUAAAUCAUAUUUAAGAAAAUAAAAAAGGUCAAUUUCUCCCAUAGAUACAUACUAUGUAAAUGAAAAGCUUUUCUAGACAAUAUAUGUAAAAGCUUUUGAAAAUGUUCAUAUAAAGCUAUUUGUGGUGGCAUGUGCCUUUAAUGCCAGCUCUAAGGAUGCAGAAAGAGGCAGAUUUCUGUGAGUUUGGGGUCCUCCUGCCUGUGUACUGAAUUCCAGACCAGCCUCAAAUACGUAGUGAGACCCUGGGCUAUGGUUUCUUCUGAUUGCUUGGUUGUUUUGCUUUUCUAGGCUGGUCAAAGAAUGUAUAUAAAAGAUCACCCUAUUAUACCAAGAGCAGUUAUUAAAUAUAAGAAUUUUAGAUGCAUCCUUUGAAGCUCUUUAUCUUAGAAAGAAUGAGGGAGAGAGAAUGAGUGAAUUGGCUUUGGUUUCAGUUUCAGAUCGUUAUAGCUCAGGUAAACCCAGAGCACAGAGUGAAGUUUUUAUAAGUUUAAUUUUUCUUGGAUAUUUUAUGUAUUUACAUUUCAAAUGUUACCCCCUCCCAAUGCUCUCCCAACCCGCUCCCUCUGCUUCUAUGAGUAUGAUCCCGCUCCCACCCACCCAUUCCCAUCUCAGUGCCCUGGCAUGAAGAUGCUUGCAGCUGAACAUUACACUGAAUAUGGGGACCCCAAUGGAGGAGUUAGAGAAAGAACUGAAGGAGCUGAAGGGGUCUGCAAUCCCAUAGGAAGAACAACAAUAUCAACCAACCAGACCCCACAGCUACCAGGUAGGAAACCAUGAACUCAUGAGAACACAAGGAGGGAUCCAUGGCUCCAGCCACUUAUGUAGCAGAGGAUGGCAUUAUCCAACAUCGAUAGGUGGAAGAGUAAAGGUUUUGAGCUCUAUAAUAAUUCAGCUCAAAACGGCUCCCCAGAGAGUCCUCAAGAGCCUUGGACAGAGCACAGUCAUCCAACGAAGCUGCCUGGUAAAGACAGGCUGAUGAAAAACAGAGCAGAUCACCCUUUCAGCCCCAAUGUGACAAGUAAGAAGAGGCAUUCUCUAAGUCACCUUGUCACCCAGAUCAUUGUUUAUACUUUGAUCAUUGUUUUUUGUGUCCCUUGGCCAGCUAGAAUACAGUUUUCAUAGAGGUUUCAUAUUAGUCCAAAAUUAGGAUUUUAUUUGGAAAACCCUUGACCUUAUAGAUCAAAAUGCACUGUAAAUGUGUCUUCAAAAUGGAUCGGGUUUCUAAGUUAGUGGAGAUCAUUUUUACACUUAAAAGAGUUGCUAACAAAGUAGUGAGGAUGGAGUAUACUGAAUAGAGACCCCAACGUCCAAAAGGCUUCAACCUCCAAAAGGCUUCACGUAUUUACUCUCAUGUCUCUAGCCCAGAUCUCAUCUGGUCCUGGAGAAAGUCCUUCUCCUGGUCUGUGGCGUCAGGAGACUUGUAGGGGUGCGUGAAGCCGACUUCUGGUACAUCUUUGUCUCUGGCUCAGUGCUAAACAUCCUGCCCUCAGUGUAUGAUGGGUAUGCCAUGGCUCCUGCAUUUAAAGGAAUGUUGUUAUGUUUAUUUUACUUGUUAUUUAAUGUGACACUUGGGUUUUUAACACUAUUUCUAAUAGAUCAGCCUCCUAUCCCUGGAGAGAAGUGUGCAUAUACCACUAGAACAGCAGCUAACAUCUGUCUUCACUGGAGAACUCUGCACUGAGGUCUAAGAUGAGCUGGAACACUUUCUUACUUGUGAAAUAUCUGACUUCUUUGAUACAGUUCUCAACAAAUUACAUUAACUAUCAUUCCUGAAUUUUGGUCAUUUAAGUUUAUUUCUAUUACACUAGUCAAAUAAAUUAAUGAAUCGGGGAACAUGAGAAUUAGUGUAAAUGAGUAAAUAAGAAAAUUUAAGAUUUUUUUUAUUGAAAGCAUAGGGUCAAAAUUACAUUUUUUAUCAUGGUUUUAAAAUAUAUUCUUUAAAAAACCAUUUAUUUAUUUAUUUAUUUAUUUAUUUAUUUAUUUUAUAAUCCAAUAUUAGCCCUUCCUGUCUUGACAAUAACCCCUCAUACAAACCCGUCUAUCACCUCUUCCUGAGAUGGCAAAGCUCCUUUUGGGGUGUCAACCCCCAUGAUCGCUUUUUUAAAGAUUGUAAAACAGAUCCCCGAGGACAAAGUUCACCUUUUAUGCAGUUUUAUGAAUCUCAUUGUUUAUUUCUUUACAUUUCACAAGAACAGACCCCUCUACGUAGUCCUGAAGCUAGGAGCUAAAUUGCAGGAGUGACAAUGCCACAAACAGCAUGCAUCAGUGUAUAGAAAAAUCUUUUUAUUCCUUUGUACACACAGGUACAGCUGGUUACUUGGAGAGUGAGCCAUAAAGCAGUGUCAGGUCUGGUUAUACACCCAUUCCUCAGUUUUCUUACCUCCUCUGUGAGAAAGAAACAUGCAUGAAAUUUUGUUAAUAUCUCUGGUGAGUCUCUGAAGUAUUAGAUCUUCGUCUUUUCUUUUCUCGGUGUGUUACCCCUUCAAUGGAAGAACUUCAGGAAGAGUUUUACCAACUUGAGCUGCAUUGAGUAGUGGCCAGCAUGGAUCUCUAGUGUGACAAUGAUAUGUGGAUCCAGAGCUCCUCAGUGGACUCUAUGACAUCCAGCCAGGAGCACCUGAAAUAUUCCUCCAAGUCAGUUACCCCUGCUUCCACUCUACCAAGAGUGGUCCUGGCCAUUGGAAAACCCAGCAGAGGUGCUGCCCACCCCUGUGACUGUCUUCCAGCCCAUAUGAACAGACCUCCCUCCACCACCUCCUCCACCACAUGUCCACCUACACCAGUGGUUUUGAUGGCAUUUCAGUGGCUUUGCCCCUCCCACCACCUUCUGCAGACAAGGCAGGAUCCCAGUCUGCUCAGGUGGCUGCUGGCUAGCAAAAAAGAAGGAGGAGCAGCAGUGGUGGUCUGAGAUAUAGAAGGCCUGCCUGGAUAAGGAAGCAGAGAGGAAGCACGGGGAGCAGGAGUAGAAUCUGGGGCAGAUGCACUCUCAUUCCCUGAUCCCUGCUUCCUUAUCUCUUUUGGCCACACCGGCCCAACCAGGAAAACCUUCCACACUGCAGAGGCCCCAAGAAACAGUUACUCUGGAGCUGUAGCCCCAGCAGCAGCCCCCCACUAUUGAGCACAGGAAUCUGCAGUAGAAAACUAUCAGUAAAGAGGAGUUGUCCUGUGGGGAUAGUCUGUCUCCAGACCCAUGGAAACAAGAUGCCAGGGAGAAGCUGGAGAAGCAACAGCAAAUGCACCUUGUGGACAUGCUAAGCAAGGAGAUCCAUGAGCUGCAAAACAAGGGGGACGGUAGUGCAGAGGAGAGUGACUGCCUGUGGAAGCUUAUGCUGGAGUGGCUGUUUUGGAAGAGACUUCAGGCUAUAUUUCUUGUGUUUCUCCCAGGUUCAUUUCUUGAACCUGUUCUUGAAAACUGUUCAAGCAGCCCAACAUUUGACAUUUUCAAAGUAGAAAUUCAUAACAACUAUGUUUUUGACAUUCUGGCCUUAGAUAAUUCUACAGUGAUGUCUAUGGUUAAGUGCCAGGCAGUGAGAACCCAGGAGUGACGAUCAGAGGUACACAGGAUGACCUGAAGGUGAGGUGCUCCUGGAGCCCAGUGUCCUGAGUGCAGGUCCUCAACCUUACAGCUGCCCACUCCAGCUGUGCCUGGGAUGGAGCCAGUGCUACCAACCUAGGAAGCAGCUCAGGGACUGUGCUUACUAUGUUCCCCAUUGGUUCAGUUCAUGACAAGGUUAAUCUGAAGUAACAGCAGGAAUUUUAGCCCGCUGGAAUUCUGUAUCUGAGAAAGUACAUGUCUUUAGGAACAUCAAGAUGCUCACGUCUAACACGUUUCAGCUUUAUAUGUCACAGAUAUCAUAAUAAAGCUGUUUAUAACCUUUUUCUGUUUGGGGUAGCUCAAGGGUAGAAUGUCCUGACCCUGAGUAUUAUAUCUAAUUACCCAGAGAGAGAGAGAGACAGGAAGGAAGGGAGGGGGAGAGGGAGGGACAGAGACAGGGAGAGAGAGGGAGAGAGAGAGAGAGAGAGAGAGAGAGAGAGGAACAAAAAGUUUGUAAAAAUUAGCAAAACUUAAAAAUAUAUAAAUAACUGUAUAAUUAUUAAAAGUCUAUAUGAGAGUCAAUGUUUAUCACCCAAAAUUGAGGAAGGGGCUUGGAGAAACGAAUUAUCCGCCUCCAACCUCCAAAAACAUACACACACUCAAUCAACAACACGUCUAAUUAUACCUGGAAAUACCCAUAUUUUAUAGAAUGCCAUAAUGGAAAGUGAGAAGCAUCAUUUUCGAUAAGGGUUGCCAAUAUGUUCUUUUUCCAAGGUGUGUGCAGCCGUGCCAGUCUUCCUCACCACGGGAUGGAAGAGGUCCAUGACCUGUGAGCCUAGAGGUAACCAGGGGAUCUUUGCUCCAUUCUGAGACUGAGAGGCAGGAUGCCCACUCAAGGGUCCAUAGCAGGGAAGGUUUUCAAGCUAUGUACAGUGCUGGAAAAGCCUACACAAGGCAUACAGUUAGCAGUGAUGUGUUUGCAGGGAGUCCAAGGAACCAGCUUUUUACUGAUGCAGGUGGGCAAGCAUUUAUCAUCCACCUGCCACUCUGACAGCAAUAAGAGUAUUGCUUAAGUUUUGUUUCAUAGAUUUGAUCACUGAAAAAAUACCAAAAAUUGGACCCUUAACAUUGUAGCAAAUAGAAUAGUGGAUGCUAAGACAGGGACCUUUGACUCUUCUAACACCAUUGUCUAUUUCAGAGCAAGAAAAGAGAGGUAUCAAUGGACAGCAGUCUGCUUCCCCCAUGAGUGCUCUACCACUGAGUUAGUAGCCUUAGCCCUCCUCACCUUUAGAUAAAGGGUGUCACUAAGUUGUCCAAGCAGACCUGAAACUCAUGCUGUAGACCAGGCUAGCUUUGAACUUCUGAUCCCCCUACCUACUGUGUGUCUUGAGUGUCUGGGGAUUACAGGCCCAUUUCUCUACAGCUGAGCAGCUUGCUUGUUUGCUUCCUCCUUUCUUUACUCCUCCUCCUCCUCCUCCUCUUCCUCCUCUUCCUCCUCCCCCCUCUCUCUCUGUCUCUUUCAUUCUUUCUUUCCUUUCCUUCAUUCUUUCUUUCAUUCUUUAUCUUUCUUUUCUUCCUUCUUUCAUUCAUUUGUUCCUUUCUUUUAAGAUUCAUUUACUUUAGUGCUCUAUCUGCAUGUACAUCUGUGUGUCCAAAGAGGGCAUCAGAUCUAAUAAUACAUAGUUAGUAUCUAUGAUAUGGUGACUGGAAUCGAACUCAAGACCUUUGAAAGAGCAGCCAUGCUCUUAACCACUGAGCCUGCUCUCCAGCCCCAGCCUAUUUUCUUAAACUUACCACACUUGGUUCACAUGAGAAUUGUCUGUCAGAUGAGUAAGAUAAGGUUACCCUGAGCGCAGAGUGCUUAUCCCUUGUCAGAUCAUCCAGGGGGUUACCUCUGACUCAUGCUGUCCUUUUCCAGUUCUGUCUCCAGUGCCCUGGAGUUUGUGGGCCUCAUCCACAGAGGUAUGCAACUCAGAGAACAUGGCCCCUAAGGCUACAGCCUCAUUGUAAAAGCCAGCGAUGUCAAUCACAGCAGGUUAGAUGUCAGCCACCUGAGUCAUGCAGUUUGACCACAUGAGACUCACCCUAGGACUUAAAUGCAGUGCGUUCAAGUUCUCACAUGCUAUGCUGGACAGCUGCUCUGGGCCUCCACAUCAUAAGCCAGAGUGCAGAGCCCUGGGCACAGCAGGACACACAGGCUAGUUUUCACUCCUAUGGAAAGCCAGUAUAGAUGGACAUUCUCCAUCUUGCUACAGUGACACUUCUGUAAGGGACGAGACUGCUUAGGGCAGCAUUGUCUGUUUAGUAGGCACAUCCACCUCCAGGACUUGCCCCCUAUGGACAGUGCUUGAGCAAAGCCUGCCUCAUGGUGCUUAGGGAGUCUCAGUUGUCUGCCAAUGGAUUCCCAGACAUUCAGCUCUGUCUGAUGAUUGACAGACCUUUGUGACCCUUCUGUUUUCCACUCUCCGGACCACAGCCCCAAAGUCCAGCCAAGCUGACCUUCACGAGAAAGCAAGGGCAGGUAUUUGUGGAUUACCACUGCACUGGGCUUCAUCUCCAGUGGACCCACCCAACCAUGCUGGGCAGGUCCUGGGGGGCAGGUUUCAGCACAUGGACUGGGCCAGCAGUGUGUAUGCAGGUGAACGGGGGACAACAUCUGCCCAGUCAAGAAUGCCAGAGUCAUCAAAGGGCAACACAGUAGAGAGAGCUUGUGAACUGUCAACAGAAGGCCAUGUUAUACCCCAUGAUGGGCCUUAUGUUGUUCUGUGUCUAGAAAAAGGGUUACCUGCAGUUAAAAGGACUGUGGUAUCCAACAAGGGACCUCAAUGACUACCAGGCCAUGGUGCCUGUCUGGGAAGUGGGUGGGUCCCAUGGUCCCUCCCAAGAACCACCUCUGUUUGCCUGUUCCUGUCUGGAUAGCAUGCUCACAAGCGACUGGACUGCUUACUUUACAGCUGUGUCUUGGUGACUGGGUUUGCCCUGAAGGAGGCCUUCUUUAUCAAUUAGAGUCUGGCUGUCCUAGCAGAUGCCCUUAUGGCCUUGUCAGAGCACUGUGACCACAUCCCACAUCUGAACAGCAAGCUAAUCAACAGGAUGCUCUAGGAGUCCAUCGGUUUGUCUUCCUCAGAGACCCCAAAAUACAGGGGUCAGAGAGCUGGGCUUUAGGGAGCUACCACAGGCAUGAUUGCUCUUUUUUGUAAGCGGCACCACCUUUGGCCGAGUUACAGUUCUGCCAGGCCCUCCCAUGUUCUGUCUUCAGCAUCUUUGUGCGUCAAUGCAGCUUACACUGUGUAUUAACUGUGCUGCACGUUGGCCUAUAGGCUGGGCUUUCCUCUUGAUUUUCCAGCAAGACCACAGAGUUCCCCGGGGAGACUCUCAUCAUGGCUCUCCAUAUUCUGACAGGCACAGUCUGUGGAUGUCUCUAAGGUGUUGGAGUUCGGACCCCACUGAGGGGUGAGAGGCUUUCAGUGACUUAUAGACCCAAGGCUUGGGCAUGAUGGCUUUUUUUUUUGGUUCUUUUUUUCGGAGCUGGGAACAGAACCCAGGGCCUUGCGCUUCCUAGGUAAGCGCUCUACCACUGAGCUAAAUCCCCAGCCCCGCAUGAUGGCUUUUAUUGUGUGCUUGGUAGCAUGUAUGCCCUGCUGCAAGUGUAUACAGACACUCCCCAUGCUCGUAGUCCCUGCUUGGAGUGUGGGUACACUCUGUCCAUGCAGACAGCUGUCUCCGCACACACAGAUGCCAUUUUCAUGAUUUACGCCUGUCAUCUUUGAUGUUUCUUUUAAUAGGCAGUCAUGUAAAGUCACUAUCAUUUUGUGGUGACUUUCUUUCCCCAGCCUUCAGAUGAAUAUAGGAAAGAGACUCUGGAAUCUGCCUGGGCUCCUCCUUAUGCCCACACCUUGACCCCACUGAACUCUCUUUGGCAGAGACAUGGCAGAGCCUGGCCUUUAAUUGUCCUGUUCAUUCCCUAUGGAUUGUGACCACAGUCUGGAGCUCUGCACAGCCUGGUGUCCAGAGAAAAUUGGCAUAGUUCCCCACAAUGUCUCCACAGGCUCAGAGGAAGGACAUAAAUAGAAUCUUUAUGGGGCCCAAGUGGCUACUCAGGGUCAGCCAAUGGUCUUGGCUCCUUCUUGUCUCUGAAGACACAGGGCACAAGUCCUGACCUCCAUGCACCUUUAGCUGCUGCACACACUAAGGAUGAGUCCAUUGGCUUCUGCUGCUUCUGGGAGUCCUGAAAACCACAAUCCCUCAACCAAGGGGACUAGUGGGGGACAAGUGAGCUCCCUGAGGACCAGAAGCCCCACCUGGGUUCACUGCUAUGUUUACCAAAAUAAUGAAGAGCUGCUGUCAUAGCAGGCCAUGCUCUGGUGGGAAGGGCAGACAGGCACAUCCAGACCCACAGAAGGCUGUACUGUGGCUGUGCUGGGCAUCCCAGGGGCGGGGUGGGGUUGGGGACGGGAGACAGUUGGUCCAUGGGUACCAUGGGUAUACAUGGACACCUAGGCACAUAAGGGGGUAUGCAUAUACACGAAAAAACUCCCUCUCACACAGAAGUUGGCAUGAUGUAUAGAAAAACAAGGCCAUCCUGAGUGUGGGCUUCACUUUAGAUAUUAAGGUCCAACGUUAAAACAGGAAUGUGUGAAGACAAGGAGCUCUGUGUUCCCUGGGACCAGAAGGAACAGAGUGGCUAUGCUGACUCACAUGAAAUAAACUCUCAAUCACAGUCUGUGACAGCCAGGUCACAGGACCCAGGCUGCUGUGUUAUGUGUGAGCACCCAGUGCAGCCAGAAGUUAAGUACUGAGCACUGACUGGCCCAAGCCCAGAAAGGGUCUCUGUUUUUCAGAGUGCUGGGGGACAGUGCAGUGUGUAGCAGUUUCCUCUUGAAGACUCUUCUGGGGUUUGAGUUCCCUGUAGAGGACCCUCAUGGCUGCAGAAACUAAGCCUGGGAGGAAAGAUCCUCAUCUGUAGAGUUCAUUGAAAGGCCUGAGAGCAGAAAAGCAAAGAAGCAGCAAAAUGUGCCACCUCUGCUCACUGUGGUUCAGCUUCUGCCUUUGCAGUUGAGCUCAGGUGCCCUGGAGUCCUCCCUAGCCUGAGUGAGUGAUUUCAAGCCAAGUCACAUCCUCCUGGUUUGUAGUAUCAAACGCAGCCCAGUUUCAGCCCAGGUAAGCUGUGAAUACCAGGUAUGCCUUGCUGUCUGCAUUGUAGGGGAACUGUUGAGCCCCAAAGGACGCAAGGGCUACAAGGUAAGGAAUCAUAGGACUGGGCUAGGCCUCGAAUCCAAGUUCCCUUCACCCCUGCCUGGUAACUGGUUCUUGGUGUGUAUAGGGGACAGAAAGAAAGGGUCCUAUGGGAGCCCUGGCACAGGCCUGCCCAAGCAUGGCUUAGGGAUCCUCACAACAUCCUAGCAUUUGAUGUGUCCCCAGAUUUGUCUACCACCCUCAGCCGUGUGCCAUUUUCUGUGCCACCUGCAAGGGACUCUAAAUAUCUUCCUACAAAAGGUGAUCAAGGAGGGGCUGUACAAGGACACAUGGUGGCUCUGUGGUGAAGUUAACAUGGACCAACAGAUUAGAGGGCCAGAGCCCCAGGACCAAUGCUGGGUGGACACACUCCUCUGACAUCCAACACAGAGAUCUUUGUACAGAAAUCAAGAGAAGUCUUAUCUGAAUAGCAGUGCAGAGCACCUCAGGCUCAGGGACUCAGGACUGACACCCAUAGAAUGCUGUAGAGCAGCCGUUUGUGAUUCAAGGGCUCAUCUGCCUGGAUCCCUGAGCCUCUAGAGAUGAGCAGAGGACUGGGCUGUGGCUGGUUAUGGGCUCAGACAGGGAGGUGCUAUGGAGCUUGUUUUUGGCUCCUGGGAGUAGAGCAGUUUUUCUUUCCCUGUCCCUGCUUUUUGAACUUUUCUUUCCUUGGGAAAAUGGAAGGACUGGAAGAAGUCUGUCUAUGGAGAGUGAGGCUGGCUGGGAAACUGCUCGCUGUUCUCCAUUGUCAUCCUGCUGGGGGUUUGGGGUUGUUGGCAGGUUAGCCUCUCCACCAUUCCAGUCUGCUUCUCUCCAUUUAAUCCAUGCAUCUCUGUCUCUUCACUCCGUGACAUGGAUGAACAAGUCCUACCUGUAGCUGCCACUCCAGGGCAUAAGUCCCUCAGUGAGUGAAUUCCAGAUGGUUCUGUCUAGAGCAGCAUGGUCCAGGGUCGUUGCUCAGUAUGUAGGUACAUGGAAGAGGAUACUGCACGGCAUCCACACACAUUUCAUAUAACAUCAAUCCACAUACUCUGGUACUAAUCGGUUCUAUUUACACCUUUCGCCAUUAUUGCUAUUCACUGUACUGUGAAGUGUGAAUUUUUAUUAUAUUUCACUUCUGCAAAGGAAGAGACAGAGUUUAGCACUGGAGAUUCCCUAGGGACUGGCUGGAAAGGAGGCCUUGACACACAUGUGUGCUUCUGGGAAAAAGCUCUUUCAUAGGAUGCCUCCAUGAGUUCCAGGAUGUGUGGAGGGCUCUGUGCCCUAUCCACGGUUGACCUCAAUAUAUUAAUGGGAGCUGAUGCUUCUCUCUAAUAGAACAGUGCCACCCUCCUUGGAGAUGUCUGUGAUUGUAUAUGCUUAGCUCUAGAGUAUCAUUAUUAGGAGACUUUGCCUUGUUAAAGUAGGUGGGUCACAUUGGCAUGGCUUUAAGACCCUUUUCCUAUGCACAUGCAAGCCAAUCUUCCCCAAGCAGCCUUCAGAUGAAGAUGUAGAACUCUCAGUCUCUCUGGCACCAUGCCUGCCUGGAUGCUGCCAUCCUCCAAGCUUGAAGAUAAUGGACUGAGUUUCUGAACCUGCAAUCCUGUGUUCAUUAAUGUUGUCCUUAUAAGAGCUGCAUUUGUUGUGGUGUGUCUCUUCUCAGCAGUAAACCCCUAACUCAAACAAUGUCCAUGUUCCCUUCUUCUGCCUCCAGACAUUAGAAGCUUCCUACAUUAGAAGCAUUCUCUUGGGAUAUGGCCCUAAUUGGUGCUAGGCUGUCUGCUUGAUCUGAGAGUGCUAGGACAUCCUGCUCCUAAGGGCAUUGUUACCGCUCCCUUGCAAUACUGUGAAUAGCAUCAGCAGGCUCCUGCUCUGUUACCCCCUGAACACAAUGCUGUCUUCUCCAGGAGUGGAUCCAACAGCUCUCAGAACCUCCUCAGGAACUAUGUAUUUCCCAAGGAUUACAUGCACUUGCUUACACACCCCUAUCCUGUGUUCUGAAAACUUUUCAAAGCCCAUUCAUCUGAGACUGGUGAGUUCAGGACAGUAGUCCCAAGUGUCUUGUCCUACCCUGACAGUUCACUCUCAUGAGGCAUCACCUGCCCUUGACAGAGGAUUUUCCCAAGGGGCAUUGGAUGUGCAGGAGAAUUGUGUGUCGUGAGUCUUUUCAGAGCAGCAAAGGAGGACAUCAAGGUCCCAUUUGCUUUUGGUUUUUGAACUCAUGGUCCUGGCACGGUCUUGUUGGUAUUUAGGUCCCUGUCAGUCCUGAAUUGAAUUUUAGCAUGGGAACCCAGGGCAGUUGUCUUCAAAGAUAUUCCUAGCAUGGACCACAUCUUCACCUCACCAGACAUAAAGCACGACAAACACCAGGCAGGCAGAAAACCCUCAGGGGCUGGAACUGGCAUGUUCAAACACUGGCUUGACCUUGGCCAACACAGGUUCAGAGAACAGCCUCUAUGUAGGAAGAUCUCCUUCCUCCUCUCAGAGUUUACGACAUGUAGACUUAAGCUAAGCUGCUGGCACACAUGUGAGCAGAGGCACCAGCCUAGGCUUGUUCAAUAUCAAAGCCUACCUGCCACCCCUGUAUCAUAGUCAUAGCAGCACAUCUCAUGAGAAUUCUAGGGGUGGUGAUAUUCUGGGUGAAUAUUCUGUAUUCUGCUGCCAGUUACUUUGCUUCCACAUGUCCAACUGUGAGAAGGGAUUGAGAAAGGGAAGGUGAUGAAGUCCUGCUAUUAUCUACUUGGUGCCACCAAAGACAAUGUGGUCUUACUGGCAAGAUCUUUGCAUUAGAUUUUAUAAAAAGUGACCUCAGGACAGUAGGUACUCUCAAGAAGGUGCAGCAUGGUGGGUACAAUGGAACAGGAUCCCUGAGGUUGGUUCAGUGGGCCAGGGUCCCUGGGGUAGGAGCAAUGGAGCAAGAGCCCUUGGGAUGGGAUCUUGUAGUAGUGACCCUGUGGAAUGUGUAACUGGCAGGGACCCUGGGGUAGGUGCACUGUGACGUGCACCCAAGCUGGAAUGUUCAGACAGGUGUGUGUUUGCUUCAUGCAGCUGCUGUCUGAAGUAGAGAACACUGUCAUCUGCCCCAGAGGGGAUUUUGGGAGCUCCUUCCAAGAAUGCCUCAGCUCCUUACUGAGAAGAUAUACAUUCCACAGAUGGGGCUUUAUUGAGAUGAGCAGAUUCUAAGGGGGCUGCCUUGAAGGAACAGCCAAAGAAAGCAGAAAUGAAGAACAAGCAAUUGCACCAGCCAUGUCGAAGGUGACUUUGCUCUGAAGAAUAGGACUGGAAGAAACUGAUUAAGUCAAAUCACUUCUCUAUCUCUGUAUCUCUAUCUCUAUCUAUCUAUUCACCCAUCCAUCCAUCAUCCAUCCAUCCAUCAUCCAUCCAUCCAUCCAUCCAUCCAUCCAUCCAUCCAUCCAUCCAUCUAUCUAUCUAUCUAUCUAUCUAUCUAUCUAUCUAUCUAUCUAUCUAUCUAUCUAUCUAACUAUCUAUCUCCCUGAGGGAAGUCAGCUUUCAUUUGUAGGAAGAAGGUCACAUCCGCGCCCCAUUAUGGUGAAAACCAGGAUUGCAGGGAGUGAGAUAGAUGGGUUAUUUCUUUCUUCCUUCCUUGAAUCUUCUUAUAUCUUUGUUUCUUUGUAUCUUUCUUUCUUUCUUUCUUUCUUUCUUUCUUUCUUCCUUCCCUCUCUCUCUCUCUCUCUCUCUCUCUCUCUCUCUCUCUCUCUCUCUCUCUCUCUCUCUCUCUCUCUCUCCUUCUUUCCUUCUUACUUCUUUUUUGCUUUUGGUGGGAUAGAAUGCCAGUUGUGGCCAGUCCCCAUCAGCAUCCACUGUGCUACAGACCCAGUCUCAGUGUGACACAGAAGAGGCCUAACUUUGAAAGUUUGUCCUCUCUCUAAGGGAUACUGUAUAAUACAGUGCUCUGGACUGCAGGUCAGACAAGGCCUGCGUUUAGGAGACUUGUGGACAGAAGAAUGUCUGUGAGUCUGGACUUAGACUCCGUGGAGGGCUCAGGUCACCUGACUGUCCUGAAGCUUCCCACUGUGAAUUAUUUCCCUCCUACAGAGUCAGCCACCUGAGCAACUUCAUUUCCUGGUUAUCCCCUAAUCCUCUUACACUGUGUAGAGUGUUCAAUCUCAGGGAGGGCCUGGGAAUCUGAGAGACACCACUGAGCCCCCGGGCCUGGCUGACUCAACCUGAGGCUACCCUGUGUGUCUUCAUUUUGCUCACCCUCCAGAGACCUCAAAAGUCAGCAGUGAGCUUGCUGAGAGGCCAGGAACCUCCAUAUUGGCCCAAGAGCAACUGUCCUCUUUUACAGGUUCAUCCACAGAGCAUGUAAUUCUGAUUGGUGAGUCUGGAAGAGUGAAAGACGUCAUCUCCCAAGGACAAGUGCUGUGCUAGUGGACACUGAGGAGCUGCACGGAUCAGACCCUUCCCCAUCCUUCUCCAGCCUCUCUUGUUCUUCCUUGAGAUGUUUCCUACAGAUCUGAAAGAUCCAGGCAGUCCAAGACAUGCAUUUGAAUUUAAUCUCAGGACAUUUUACUCCUUGCUCUAAAAUUAAGACCAGGUAAUUCAUUUGUUUGUUUGUUUAUUUAUUUGUUAUAUGUAAGUACAAUGUAGCUGUCUUUAGAAACACCAGAUAGCAUCAGGUCUCAUUUGAGAUAUUUGUGAGCCACCAUAUAGUUGCUGGGAUUUGAACUCUGGACCUCUGAUAGAGCAUUCAGUGCUCCUAACCACUGAGCAAUUUUUCCAACUUCCAGACUAACUUUUUAAAUUCCCAGAAUGUAUUCUUUAUUCAGGUUACAUCCUGAUCCCAGCCACUCUCCCUCUGCCUGUCUUCAGGGUAGGAGAUUACAGGAAGGCCCCAAUUUUCAGCAGGGGAGUGGGUUUGCUUCCAGAGCAGGCAGUGGGGUCGUAAACAUCUCACUCUCAGGGAAUUGGGAGCUUUCCCAUAUAAGAAUUUUCUGUGGUGGAAGCUCAGUUUGCUGUCUGGCUUCUUUUUAGUUUUCUCUUGCUUCUUCUGGAAUGAGAAUGUUCUUCAUUAAGAGCUUAGAGGGUGUUUCUGGCCAGACUAUGUUCAUGUGCAGGCCCAUCCCUGGACGGCUGGAUGCUUAGACUCUCCUGGGGAGACCUGUUUCCUUUCUGCAGCAGGCCAGCUAGUAUGAAAACUAAAGGACCCGAUCAGAUGUUCACAGUGCACAACACACAUACACAAACUCACGCAUGCACACACACACACACUAUACAAAUAUAUAUAUAUAUAUAUAUGUAUAUAUCUUCCAUAUUCCUAAACCCACACAACAUACACAUCACGUGUCAGAUGUGCAUGCACAUUACAUAUAUCACAGACAUAUAUACACUGUGCACAUCACACGUGACAUUUGUACCUAUAUGCACACAUGCAUGCACACCUCACUCUACACACAUGCCUGCCAUGCACACAUGUAUAUAGGAACACCAAAAUGAGUGAAGAGAUUUUAAAGGAGGCUUGUGCAGUCAGGGUAUGAUAGGCUUGGGCAUGACUACCCUCUGUGUUACAGUCAACUGCGGUCUGGUCUUUUAGCUACUUUCACAACUGGGCCAGUGCCUGUGUAGAAGGAACACCAAGGCCACAUCUCAGGGAAGUGAACUGAGGACUCAGAAGAUGCACAGGCCCUGGAGUAUGGAAAGGCAGAGCAUGGUAUGUAGAUGUAAAUGCUGUAAGGCACUCUGGCUUGUCCACUCCAAUAGGCACGAUAGUAAGCACGAGGCCAGUAGAUGUCGUAUCCGUGGGAAGAACCCUCUGGAUGCCAUGUUAGCAACUUAGGGUGUUUCUUGUUUUCAGCCCAUGCUGUGGACAAGGAAUCAGGAGGUGUGGGGUAGAGAGGACACUUGAGCACCUACCCUCUAUGUUGUGAACCUAGUGGAUGUUUUUCUGCCCUUCUAGACCUGUGAGUGGCCUGUGCCAGCACAGCAGAAUGGGGACAUUCCCAGUUCCAUAGGAUACUGCAGGCUUGGGGACUGGGUACUUAGGCUUUUGGCUGUGCACCACACCACCUUCCUGACCAAUGGUACAUUAAGUCAACCAGUGCUUGCAGAAUGCUUGAGACAACACAAAUGUCUCCUUUCUAACUGGAAACAACAUAUAAAGGUCUAAUACAAGUCAGUAAUGUGUCUCUGAUUGUCCUGUGGCACUGGGUGAAUUAAGGACAGGAUGGAGAGCAUGCCAAAGAGUCUAACUCGUUCUGUCCCAUCUUCCUUCUGAAUGCAGGUCUCCAGGAUCCAGUGCUCACACGGACUCAGGGCUGCUGCUCAGGGAACCAGCAAACCCUGUUGCUCUGACCAUGCCACCGUGAAGGGCAGUCUCUUUCUGUUCCAGUCUCUGCGGUGCCACUGUGUAUUAGAAAGGACAUCUUUCAAAGGAGGGGUUGGUGAAGGGCAAUUUACCUUCUCUUUCAGAGAUACAACUGUCUGAGGAGAGGCUAGGAGGUGUUGCAGAACCAAAAUAUAGAGCUAGAGGGAUCAUAAAAUCGAGUUUUGGAGGAAGGUUAGCUCAAGGCUGCAUGUCCCUGAACACCUUGGUGGGGGUGAAGGGUGACUUCAUAGUCACUAGUAGCCCAGUGCCUGUCAGUACUCUACAUGACCUUGUUGCCCUUGCUUCUUCUGGUGCUCAACAGCACCACUCAGAUGCAAACAGCAAGGCCUAGAUAGUGUCCACAUCUCCCAUGGCUUGACACUGUGCUGGGUUUGAUACUACAAACUGGGAGGCUGGGACUUGAACUUGAGAUCACUGACUCAGGCUAGGGAGGACUCCAGGGCACCUGAGCUCAGCUGCAAAGGCAGAAACUGAACCACAGUGAGCAGAAGGGGCACAUUUUGCUGUUUCUUUCCUUUUCUGCUCUCAGGCCUUUCAAUGAACACUACAGAUGAGGAUCUUUCCUCCCAGGCUUAGUGUCUGCAGCCAUGAGGGUCCUCUACAGGGGAUUGAAAACCCCAGAAGAGUCUUCAGAAGGAAAGUGCUACACACUGCACUUCCCCCAGCACUCUGAAAAACAGAGACCCUUUUGGGAUUUGGGCCAGUCAGUGCUCAAUAGUUAACUUCUGGCUGCACUGGGUGCUCACAAAUAACACAGCAGCCUGGGUCCUGUGACCUGGCUGUCACAGACUGUGAUUGAGAGUUUAUUUUAACUGUGUCAGCACAGGAACUCUGUUCCUUCUGGUCUGAGGGAGCACAGAGCUCCUUGUCCUCACACACACCUGUUCCACUAUUGGACCUUAGUGUCUUAAAGUAAGCCCUACACUCAGGAUGGACUUGGUUUUCUAUAAAAUCCUGCCAACCUCUGUGUGUAAAGAGGGGGAGGGGAGGGAUGGAAGGAUGGCGAGAGAGAGAGAGAGAGGGAUGGAUGGAGGGAAAGACAGAACAAGAGAGAGAGCAAGAGUGAGAGCAAGAGCAAGCGAGAGAGAGAGAGAGAGAGAGAGAGAGAGAGAGAACAUGCACUAGCCACCAAAGAAGCAUUCCUGUAUUCUUCAUUAGCCUUACAGCUUUGUCUCUCUUCCCUGAUUAUUGCCUUUUCUGCUGUGUUGGGUUUUUUUGUAAAGAAAUGCUUGACUUUCUCUUCCUUUCUGUUGAUCUGGGGUUUGGUUCUUUUUUUCUUUGUUACCAUGGAGAUCAUACUGAAAAUGCUAAAAUACUACCAGUCCUAUGUGAACUGUAUUACUGCUAUUUUGACAGCCCUGAACAACUUCUUCAGUUUCUGAUGUCAAUGAAGGAGAUGUCUGUGUACAUGAGCCUAGGUGGCACUGCUGUUUGGGGUCAUGUAACAUGGCAACUCUCACAUCUUGGAGGAAGCAGAAGUUCACCUUGCCUUUGGGGAUUGUCCGGGGAUCACCUGUUCUUUAUUUCUUCUUGAGAUUCUGAAAUCCUUUAAAUCGGUCUUCAUCUGUGGGAGUUUCUUAGUUUUCUUCCUCAAUUUUGAAGGAAAAUUUUACUAGAAAAUCAUAGUUCCUAAAGAGUGUUUGUGUUGCUGUUUUUGUAUAGUGUUGUGUAUACUCACCCAUUCUGUGUGUCCGUGUGAGUGUAAGUUUGUGUGUUUGUAAUAAAGGGUGGGAAUGUGUGUGGUGUGGUAUGUGUGUGCUUGUGUGUGUGUGUGUGUGUGUGAGAGAGAGAGAGAGAGAGAGAGAGAGAGAGAGAGGGAGAGAGAGAGAGGGAGAGAGAGAAGAGAAGAGAAGAGAAGAGAAGAGAAGAGAAGAGAAGAGAAGAGAAGAGAAGAGAAGAGAAGAGAAGAGAAGAGAAAAGAAUGAAGCAAUCUUGUAUGUACACUGUUAUGGAUGUGUCCCACCAUGUGUGUGGAGGUUAGAGGACAUUUUUGUCAGACCUUAUCUUACCUUGUUUGGAACUAGGUGUGUGGUUUGAUGUUGCACAUGGCAGGCUGCCUGAACGACAAGCUCCCAGGCAAAUUUCUGUUUCUCCUGCUUUUCCUGCUUCCUAAAAGCUCUGAUAUUACAGGUGUGUGCUCAACUUUCGCAUGGGUUCAAAAUCAGUUCUUCACACUUUGCAGGGCAGAUGAGAAUCAAAAGCCUUGGAAGCUGUGAGGA